GGAGUGUGACGCAUCAUCAUAGAUAUAAGGGAAGCUUCAAUGUUUGUGAAUAAAUUGAACACGGAAUAAAACUUGAAGUUUGAAAGUUUUUUUUUGGUAAGAACUUGAAGUUUGAAUGUUAAGGUAAGAAGAUUAUCUGGUGCAAAAGAAAAAAAAAAGUAAGAAGAUUAUUAAAACUUUAAAAAGCUCCAAAUGUUUUAAAAGAAAAUAUAUUUUCAAUAAAAUGGAGAAGGCCUUAGAAAAUAAAAAAAGAGUUAUUAAAGAGAAAUUGCAAAAAAAGUUUGCCGCUAUCGGAUCAGAUUUUUCUGAUGUUCGAAAACGAAACUCGAGACACUAAUACUAGUGAAUACAAUACUUACAGCUUUGCGGCGAAGAUACUAGAUCAAAACCAUAAGCAUAUAUGAUGGAGCGGAAGCUUCUAGGGAUAGGAGUAGAGAUCCGUUGAUUCUCAGAAUACCCGGAAAUCUAGGGUUUGAGAGUCCUCCUCUCAGGGCUUUCGCAAAAGCUCUUGGAUUUGUGAAUACUCUUCACAGUGGUUUAUUAAAACCUCUUUAAAUCUUUCGAUUAAUCAAUAUAUCAAAAUAACUGCAUACAAUAGGAGGCUUAAGAAGCCUAUUUAUAAUAAAGCAUAAAACCCUAAAACUAAGAAUAUUCUAGAAUAAUUAUAAUAAAUAAAUUAAGAGAUAAUAAUAAGAGAUAUUUGGAAUAUCUCGCUGCAUCAGGUCUCGCCGGCCAAGAAAAGAUUCGUCCUCGAAUCUUGUAUCUGCGCUGCAUCAGCUCCCGCCGGCCAAGAAAGAUUCGCCCUCGAAUCUUCAGCAGAUUUUUUAGCAAAAGUGAUCUUUGUAGAUCCAUCUUUAUCUCUGUCGGUUGAUUUAGCUCGAUUUUUGCACAAUCCCGGUUUGAUCCGAAAUUUGCACGAACUGUAACUGACCCAAAAUUUGCACGAACCGGAUCUGACCCGAAAAUUGCACGAACCGGAUCUGACCAAAAUUUCGCACAAAUCACCUCCUCGACAGAUGUACAGGUCGGAACUUGCAUGAAACUUACCCAAAUCGGUGGUUUCAUGAUUUCUGCAGAAAACCCGAAUUUUGCACGGAUAUGAUUUCGCCCGAACUUUGCACAAAUAAGAUCUUCUUCAUAAACAUCAUAGAUCGGAUCACCAACAAUUUCUCUGUAGAUCUGGUGGUUCUCCUCUCUCUCGAUAAAAGGACUUUCGUCCAUGAUAGGGUAGAUGCAAUCACUUGCCAUGUGAUAACCAGAAUCGUUCAUUGAUUUAGAAAUCAAAGAGACGCAGCUCUGAUACCAAAUGAUGGAGCGGAAGCUUCUAGGGAUAGGAGUAGAGAUCCGUUGAUUCUCAGAAUACCCGGAAAUCUAGGGUUUGAGAGUCCUCCUCUCAGGGCUUUCGCAAAAGCUCUUGGAUUUGUGAAUACUCUUCACAGUGGUUUAUUAAAACCUCUUUAAAUCUUUCGAUUAAUCAAUAUAUCAAAAUAACUGCAUACAAUAGGAGGCUUAAGAAGCAUAUUUAUAAUAAAGCAUAAAACCCUAAAACUAAGAAUAUUCUAGAAUAAUUAUAAUAAAUAAAUUAAGAGAUAAUAAUAAGAGAUAUUUGGAAUAUCUCGCUGCAUCAGGUCUCGCCGGCCAAGAAAAGAUUCGUCCUCGAAUCUUGUAUCUGCGCUGCAUCAAUAUGGCAACUCGACUCUCUACUUAGAUCUCGUGCUUAGCAACCUAAUAAAUCGUAGAUCUAAGCAUAUCAUUAUUGAGAAGCUCUUAACCUUCCAAUAAUGAUGGUCUAACAUCCUUCCUCCAAUAUCGAUGAUCUACGAGAUUUAUGAACAAGACUCCCUUCAAAUUUGGUUUGGUGAAUGUAGUCACGACGAUUUACAAAAGAGUAGUGGUUCAAUCAAACCUCCAUGUAUCUCAUGUCAUCCAUAGAAUUGUAUCUCUCUUUUCUAAAUUUGCGAGAAUGUUACUUAACUUCCUUUGUCUCGUACUAUAUAUAACUCAUAUUAAGGACUGAUGGAUCCUUGAUUGGCUUUACAUGGGAAUUGUAAGCUUUUAGGUGAAGGUCUGCUCAUUAGUUCUUUGUUUUAGAUGUUUGAAUUAUUUAUUUCAUUGAUUAUAUGAAUUUUUGUGAUCUUCCCUUACAUAUGUAUAUGUGUUACUUCAUGGGAUGUGAAUGUCAGGACAAAUACAAGGAAAAGAAAGAGAAAAAGAGUAAUGAUAGAAGCAAAGACAAACAGAAGGAAAGAAAGGAGAAUCCAAUAAGCAAUGACACGAUUGAGUCAUCGGUUCAAGAACAUGAAAAAGACCUAUUAAAGUCUUACCAGAAACAAUUCUCUCUCCCUUUUAAGCUCAUGAAGAAGCUUAAGAUUCAUUAUGGAAGCAGCUUCUUCAGUUUGGUCCGAUAAUGGUAGAUAAGUAGUGAUAAUAGUUAUGUAUCUAAAAUUAAUAUUAUUUUGGAGAACUAUAGACUAUAUUUAAUUUAUUUGAUCAAUCAUUAAUCAUUGGGACCCUUAAUCAUAAGAUAAUAUUAUUUUGGAGAACUUUUGAGUUUAAAGUUUUGACUAAAUUGAUCGGUUUCAUUGAUGUGAGAUCAAAAUUUUCUGAGAAUCUCAGGUGAUUGAUUGUCAACGAUGGUGAGAUAUUACAGAUGGACGAAAAUAAUAGAAAUCGGGGUAUAGUCGGUUUAAUUCCGGCUGAUUAUUAAAUUGGUCAAUUUAUUAAUUAAAUCAAAUAAUUUUUAUUUAGUCAAAUCAAAUCAAGAACCCUAUUUGUAUCAAAGUGACACCUCCUUGGUACAUGAACCUAGUUAAUCGUCGUGACCUACUUAAGAAAAAAGAGAGAAGGAGAGCUCAUUCACUAGGGAGAAGGAGAACAAGCUUGGUUUUGUGUAUAUAGCAAAAGAGGCAAAACUGUUGAGAUUUGGAAGGAAAGGGUUCCCACGUAUCAAAACAUACCUAAAGGUAAUGAAAUUUGUACCUAAGUCUUGUACCUCAAUUCUCCCAUUUACAAAAGUUGAUUUAGGUUAAAACUAUGUGAGUUAUCUGCAGUUUCAUGAGACACUUACGCAAACGGGUACUAGUGGAGGUUAAAAGUGUGAUCGUGGUAGCAUAUGUUAUCUGAUCGGCACCAAAUUUUGUGGGAAGCUACGCGACAUCGAGGGAGUGCCUUACACCAGAGAUUUGAACGUUAGCGGUUGGUUUCAGGUUUAGGGUUUUGUCUGUGAGACUGUAUUUUUCUACUGUUUAUGCCCAGUUUGCUUCAAGGUUGUUUUUGUUUGUGUGGGUUGUUUUAGGGUGUUGCUGAACUGUUGUAAUCGCGAGGAGAUUCUCUCCUAAUUUUGUUUGUUGUUCGAAUAAUUUUUGUAAGGUGAGUGUGUAACCAUGAGUUUAUCUAAGCGAUUUAUAUUAAGUGACUUAUUUUGUGAUGAUGUGUAAGUUGUGGAGCUUCGUACAAUCUUAAAUACUUAAAAAUUAAUAAACAAAUACAACUGAAAAAAACAUUAGUUACAAAAAAUUAUCCAACGAGCUUAUAAGUAAUAAAAUUCACAAUCAAAAUAAUGUUACACAAUUUUAAACACUAAGCAAAUUUUAAAAUAUAUAUAUAUACAUAAUUCUCAGCGUAUCAAGGAGAGUUUCGUUCCUCCUUUGUGGUAUGGUGUGGAUUAUAAAGGAUCCAUUUUUCAGACCCACAUUUGUGUCCUCUACUCUUGUAGCGGCAGCACAUGCUUUGGAGGCAACGACCAUCGCGGCCUUAGUUUUGGGUGUUUCAAGGCGGGCUUAUUCUUCGAAUUGUCAAGAUCUCAAGAUUUUUCACAGUUUCGGUGGCCUCGCAGACGAGUUCGAAGAUGUCGUAGCGGAUACUUUUGAGCUUUGGUCUAAAUUUCUUUUUGCUUUCCCUUUUUUUUUGUAUAUCCACCCAAGAAUCUUUCUUGGUUCAUCUCCUCCAGAAAUGGAGUUGAGUCAUUUUAGAAUUAAUGUUAGUUUACAAAAAAAAAAAAAGUAUUUACGAUUGUACAAUGAUAUUGUGAUUGUUAAUUAUAUAAUUUAACCUGCGGAAUACAACAUGACAAUUUGUUUUGUUAUAUAUAACCGUAAUUUAAUCAACUUAACUAAGUAUGUAUAAUAUUUCAAAUAAUGAUAUGAUGAUGGCGUAACAUCUUUCAAUUAACUCAUUUUAUUUUAGACUAAAAUAUUUUGUGUGUAAACAGCCCGUAAGAAAAAAUAUAAUCAUAUUUAUAUAAAUUCAAACUCGUUCAAUCAAAUUUAUGUAAACUGAAACUCAUUCAAUCAAAUAUAAUCAUAGUUAUAAGCAUAUUAGUCUUAUUUAUAAUGUUUUUGAACUAUUAUCUAAAAUUUUCUACCCGAUGUGUGACGUUGUACAUUUUUUUCUUUAUGAUUCAGUAAUAUAUGUCCGUUUUCAAAAAUUCAAAUUACAACAUAUGUGGAAAAAAUAUAUAUAUUUAUUAUACAUAUGUUAUAUGUAAUAAUAUAAAUUUUAAAACAAAUAAGAUCAUAUAACGAUAUUUCAGAGAUAUUCAAUUUAUUAGGGAGAUAUUUUAGGAAAAUCGAAGUAGUUGUAGAUCUUUUACAAAUUUAAACCUUAUAGUUAGUAAACUUAUAGAAAUGGCAAGGGUUUAUGAUAGCAAAUAAUACAAAUUAAAAUGUUACUUUACAAAAGGUAUUUCAAAAUUGUUAAUAUAGAUAUUUCGAGUACUCCGAACUUACCUGAAUCGAAAAGAUCUCAAACAAAACUUGAUUCGAAUUGUUAAAAUACAUGAAUGGGACCUCAACCAGUAGUCCCAAAAUACAUGAUCUUAUAAAACCCGUGUUCGUUAUCAUUCCUAAAUCUAUGAAAAAUGGGCCUUAAUCAAAUCAAAUCCAGUUCUGAUUAAACAUGAUAUCAUGUGCGUUUACAAUUUGUCUAAUGGCCCAUCUAUAUUGGUUACAAAGCUACCAUAGAUCAUGUGUUAAAGAAACAAAAAGAGUUUGAGAUUAAUCUUUGUGCUUUUGUGUGCUUGAGAUUGUAAACUCCUUGUAGUUCUUGUUCUUGAGUAGAAUGAGAACAAGAACAAGAACUAUAUACUAAAAAAACAAAGAUUUGAGUAGAUUGAGAAACUUAUUAGUAAUUAAAUCUUAAAAUUGAGUAAUUUGACCAAAACAUAAAUUGAACCAAAUUGAUACAUUUCUUUUUUAUUCCAACCCACUAGAAAAUAACGAACCAAAACGUUCCACGUCAUCUUUCUUCAAACAAACACCAAUCUCAACACCACCACUUCCAUCUCCACUCUCCGACAACGAAACCGAAGCAUCUUUAUCAAUAGUCACUAUCUCUACUUUAACCGGUUUUCCCCACCCAAAAUCCGACCCAUAUAUCCCUAACCGGGUUGACCCGGCAACCGAAAUCAUCUGUCUACCCGGUUCCAUCCUCUUAAACGCCUCAAACGGUAAAAGCAUAUUCUUCUCUAUAUUCUCCGGACACAACCCGUUGACCCAUACGGUCAAACUCUCCACGGCCGAGAUUAACCCUUCUUCCAAGAUUGGUUCUGCCUUCACGUCAAAAUCUCCUGACCCGACAAUGCAGUUUCCAAAGAACGUCGACGGUAACGGAGGGUUUAACCGUGACCGGAAGUCUGAUGCAAAACCAAUACACAAGAACCGGGUCGGGUCACCUCCAUGCAUCUUUACCAUGCAUGUUAUAACGUAACCGUAAGUGAUGACAAAAGUAGAUAAACGUAGGUCUUGAGACAAUGACUUGGUCUUGACUACAUCACGUAGCUUUUUUAUGUUUUCUUGAGUUAACCUGUACGUGACUCGGAUAAUGUCUUGUCCGAUGGCUUUAGAUGGAAACAGUUUUAAGCUUGGUUUGUUGUUAGAAGCUGAGAUCCACCGGCUUAAGAGUUUUGUCUCCAUUCCUGUUGGGUCUUGGACAAUGGUUCGAUCAAAAGAAGGGACUAGAUCACCAGGAAGAGGUUCUUGUUCUUGUUUACAGUUGUGAGCCCAUGCUUUGAGAAACAUGGCUGUUGUUUUCCCGUCUAGAACAGCAUGAUGUGCGGUUACGCCAAGACAAAAGCCUUGGUUGGGGAAGAACGUUACCUGAACGGCGAGAACGCGAGCUGAUUCGUCGGAAAUCCCUAACUCAGGGACUAAAGGAUGAAACUCUAUGGCCGGACGAGGUUCAUCUCCGGCGAGACGUGACAGAUCACCGUUAGAUUCAGCUACCGUGAUGUGCACGGCAUCUUUUUCAUCAGGAGAGUAGACAAUGGACGGUUUGGUGUCGAUCGAGUCCCACACGAGGCGGCCGGCGAGUGGGAGAUAGUGGAGGAGGGUUGCAGAUAGAGAGGACUUGAGUUUAGGGAUGAGAGAAGAGCGAGUCAGGUCAGGGACGUGGUAGAAGAUAACACGGUCCACAGGGUGGAGUUUAAGCCAACCUAAGUCGAAGUAAGUGAGUGGGAGUGUGAGAGAGUUAGAAGGUGGUGGACUAACUUGGACCACUUCGAGUAUGUUAACGGCUGAGUUUGAAUUCACCAUGAGUUGGUAAUGAAGUUCAAAGUUUUUAUUGGUUUGCUUUGAGUUUUAAGUAUUAGUAUUUAACUAUGUAUAGGCUUCUUUGGAGGUUAUGGUCUUUACUUACUUCUCUCUUCCAAGAACGUCAACCACCUGAUAGGUUUACCCAACCGGUGGGUGGAUAUAUAUAUGAUAUUUUGGCUUUGAGUUUGAGUAUCUAACAAUGUAUAUUUUAUUUUUCAAAUAGGUACUAAUUAUAGAGAAUCUUCGCUAGACUAUCUUAGACUAUCUCCAAUGGUUUUUGCUAUUUUUGUCUCUAUAAUAGUGGAAUUCUAUAAUAGAGGUAACUUUUGCUCCAAUGGUUUCCUCUAUUUUCCCCUCUAUAAUAGAAUAUUCCAAAUAAAUUCUUUUAAAAUUUUAAUAUUAACAUAAUCUAUUUAUAAAAGUUGCAAAUUAACCCAUUUACUUUAACUUUUAUAAAAUUUUAAUAAAAUAAUUACUUUUAUUUAAAUUAAACAUUUAUCAUAAAAUCAUCAAAUUAUGUAAUAUUUUUUUAUUAAAAGUACAUUACGUUACAUAAUAAAAAAAUAAGAUACUAGAUUCUUAACCAUCAGCAUAAGUGUAUUUUCCCCACAAAUGAUCAACUAAUGCAUUUCCAAGUGAGAAAUGAGCUUCUUUAUCUCUUAUUUUCUGAAGUAAUUUAGGAGAGUAUUAAGUAAUUUUUUUUGUAUAAAAAGUAUUAUUAUGGAAUAAAUGAAAAAAAUAAAAUCUUUUUUUCUUUCAAUAAAAAUAAAAUAUAUUAUUUAUGUAUAUAUUAACUUUUGCAAAUGGUAGUCUCAAAUUUUAGAAUAUAUAUUUAUAUUAAAACCUUUAAAAUAUUUCAUAUUAUUAUUUGUGAUUAAAUAUAUUUAUUUUAUUUAUUUUGUACAUAAAUAAAAGAAGUUUGAGAUUAAAAAGACUACUUUGCAAAUAAAAUAGUUCACCUCUAUUUAUAGAGGAAAAAAUAGAGUUCCUCUAUAUAUAGAGAUAAAAAUAGCAAUCUCUAUAAUAGAGGUGGAUAUAGAGGUGGGUUGGAACAAAAUUUGCUAUAAAAUAGAGUUUAGAGGCAAAAAUAGAGGUGAGUUGGAGAUGCUCUUAGGCUCCGAAAGGUGAAAACGGAUUUGGUAGUGCGGAACAAGCGGUUUGAUAGUGUAGUACGGUUCAACUGCGGUAUGUGCGUGAUAAAUGUAAUUACAGGACAAGUGCGGUUUGUGUAAAAAAAAACGGUGCAAAAUAAUGUUUGAUUGGUGGAAAAUUAGGAUAAUUAUUUUAUUAAUAAUUAGGAUAAUUAUAUAAAUAAAUUAAUAAAUAAAUAUAUUUAUACAUUUACAAACCUUAAAAACCCAAAAUGACUUUAAUUUUUUUUUUACUUACAUACCAAUUGUUAAAUCAAUUAAAGUGUUUGACCAUUAAAAUAUAAAACAUAUUAAAAAAAAUUAUCGAUUAUUUUGAUAUUCCCAUAACAUAUUCGCAAAAUUGUCUCUUAUUUACGUCAUAUGUUCGCCAUCUGCUAUUUAUGUUGCAUCCAUGUCACAUAUAUCAUGCUCAAAAAUUAUGUUGUUUAUAUUUUUCUCAGUCAUUAGUUCUGCGAAAUCAGCAUCUGAAAAUUUUGAAAUUAUGAUGAAAUUAUGUAAUCCCACUGUCGCCAUUACCACUGUUUUUUUUAAUGUGGACAUUAUAUCUUGGAAAAUCAGAAAGAAUUCUCCAUUUUUUCUUCCAAACUCCAAAAGUUCUCUCGAUAACAGAAGGUAAUGAUGCAUGACAUUGGUUGAAUAAUUCAUGUUUAUUUCUAGGAGGAGAGCCAGACUAAAAAUUGAGACAUAUGAUAUCUCACAACUCGAUUUCUUGAUGAUCUAUAAGGAGCGUGAAAUCCUUGUUUGUUUGUAUAGCCAGAAUCAACGAGAUAAUACUUCUCUAACGGAGGCAAAGGAAACUCAUAAUCACUUUGUUGUGCCAUUUGUAGAACAGCUGUAUCGUGGCAUGAUCCUGGUGCUCCAUUCCAAAUAUAUGUGAAUAACAUAUUCAAAUCACAUAUUGCCAUCAUGUUCGAUGAUGGAUUAUCGUGGUGAUUCCAAUACAUUCCCUGUAACUCAGGCUUUACUUUGUCACAUACAUGAGUCCCAUCCAUAACUCUAACAAAUCCACUAAAAUAUGGCCAAUAUCUUCAAUUUGUCUGAAGCUAUCAGGAAUUCGAUAAAGUUCUUGUCUUGUUGGCGUUCUAAUAUAAUCACAUGCUAACAAUUCAGUUACCGUAAGAACUUCCUUAAUUUUUCUUUGCAUAGUCUCUUGAUUUCUGCCAGAUCUUAAACCAACAUCUUUUUGAACUUCAUAGUGUCCACAUAUCCGUAAAAACAUAGCCACACUUUCUUCAAUACUUAUAUUUAAUAUUGGCUGUAGACUAUAAUUUGUGUGCAACAUAUUACACAAUGUUGUGAAACAUGGAAGUGACAUCCGUAAUAACUGAAGACAAGCAUCAUCAUCUUCCUGUAACCGACGCCAUAUAUAUCUCCAUCCCAAACCUCCAUCGGUUUGGACUGGAGCUCUUCGGAAAUAUCGAAAAUAAUAAGUUAAAGCUGGUUGAAUUACUAACUCUUCAAACUGUUCAUUUUCCAAAUUCCACAAUUCAAUCCUCUCCUCGUAAUUGAGAUGGUUGGGAUAUUGUGAUCGCAAUUGACAUAUACGAAAUGCCUGAAAUUCAAUAUAAAAAACAUUAUUAAACAUAUAUUAUUUUCAAAUAACAAACUAAAUCAUUCUUUUUAAAUUACAAAACUACUUUAACAAUAAAAACAUAAACAAGAAUGAGAAAACACAAGCACCACAAAUUAAUCUUCAUCUCCUACAUCAGUUUGAUGACUUGCAUUUUGUCCUUGCGUUCCCCAAAUAUUGAAAAGACCUCCAGGUCUAGGUGUUUGUGGCUUUUGUCCACUUUCAAAAUAAUUAGUGAAACCGAGACCGGGUGAUGAUGUUUGUUGAAUAAUCAGUGAAUUUUCUUGUUGAUUAUUUCUUAUAUUUUCACUUCGGUAACCAAGUGAAAAACCGUAUUGAACAUUUGUUGGAGUUGUUCCUGAUGAACCGCCUUGUUGAGUUUGUUGCCAUGGUUGUAUGUUUGAUGGUGUGUCCCACUGUGGUGCAUUUGGUGGUGCUCCCCAUUGAUGAGCAUUUGGUGGUGUUCCCCAUUUUAAUGCAUUUGGUGGGGUUCCCCACUGUUGAUAAACAGGGCCCAACAACCAGGUGAAUUUUGCCCUCCUAAGUUAUUACCCACGGAUGAAGGAAUAUUAGAUGACAGACCCCCUAAAUGUGGACUCCCAAAAGAAUGGCAUGAAUCCAACUGUUUGGGCACAUCUUGGUUGUUCCGCGAAACACCAGUCAUAGCUUCUAACAAUUGUACCUUAUCUUUGUCAUUUCUUCCUACUAUGUCAAUGAAAUACUUACGCCAAAAGACAAACUCCUUAAGUGCGUUAACCCAUGCCCAAUAAAAUCUCGUGUUCUUAGGAAGAUCUACCGCAGUGAAUAUCGCUUCCGCUUUCUUAAAUUCAUCGUAAUCGUCUUGGUCAAAACCACCAGGACGAAGUUGUUGAAGACUUUGUCAUUGGAACUCUCUAUAACCAGCAAUGGUGUCUUGUAUUGUUGUUUCAAAGGAUUGUCACCUACAGUUUCCUCGUGUACUGCUUCCAAUAGAAACUCGUGAGCUUCCCUCAGAUCUUUGUAAAUUACUCCCACGUCUAGUGCUUCUUCCUCUUGCAUCACGGAAAUUUGUGGUGGAACGUCACCACUUUCACUAUCUGAAUCAUCAUCACCCUCUUCAUCAUUUUCAUGUUCGUUCAUUAAUUGUUCUCUUCUUUGUCGAGCAGAGUGUUGAGAUUGUGAUUGAACAUCAUAUAAUACGAGACAUCUCUUCAUCACAUCCGAAAACUCAGGUGGCUUUUGAUUCAAGCCUUUUGCUAUUUGCAUCCCUAUAAAUUUAAAAUUAAUGAGAUCGUGAUAUCAAAAUUAAAACAUAUCUUUAUGAGUACAAAGAUUAUGUUUACUUACAAACUCUUGAUCCUUCCAUCAUGACUCAUAUGCAUAUAUCAUGGAUGUAUCAGGAUCAACCGUGAUUCCAGUUUUAUGCAUAAGAACCUUCCAUCUCUUGCAGUUUUUUUGAAUUCAUUGAGUUUGUUUUUGAAAAAACCAUAAGUUUUAUUCAUGUUGAAUACUUGAUGAAACUUUUCAAACAUGUACUCUCUACCGAUGGCAGUAGGAUUAAUUAUUCAUGGCAAUUGCUUCGUCGAACAAUAGAAUUAAUGUUUUUCCUGAAUGUGCGUCCAUUUGUACUUGUCUUGAUUCUACAAAUUUCGUAAAUAAAAUAAAUGAUAUAAAAUAUAAUUAUAUUUAUAUUUUAUUUUAAAUAAAAAAUUUGUUUACCCGUACUGUUGUUUUGGUGGGAGGAGUUGAAAUUUUGGUGGGAUGAUUUGAACUUGGUUGUCUAGAAGGAUUAGUGCCUCUUCGACGAUUAGACGAGAUAUCUACAUUUAAUCAAAACCAUCAGUAAAUAAGAUAUAAAUUAUUAUAUGGUUAUUUGUUUUUAAAUCAUAUUGUUUUACUUUCAAAAUAAUAUAUUUGGUUAUAUACAUAUACAUAUUUUUAUUAGAAAAUAUUAAAAUAAUAUGAAACAUAAAAAAUGUACAAUUGUAUAUAAUUAAAUGAUAUGUAUAAUUCAAAAAGAUUAAAUAAAAUUGAUUGUAAUUUUUUUCAAAAAUAAUUUCAUUAAUACAUGCAUUCUCCUUACAAAUAGUUUACUAACCAUUAUGAACACAUUGAAUUCACAUAUGCAUGUUUCAAUCAUACAAAUUUUCUUUAUACUACACUUUAGUCUUAAACUUAUAUAUAAAGCUAAUACUUUAUUUUUAACUAAAUCAAUUAUAUAUACUAUACUAAUAUAAACAUAUAUUAUAUAUUCAAAAUUACCCAUUAUUAUUACACUUAAAAAAACUUAUGUAUAUAAAAGUAUUUUUGAAUAUUUAACAUUUGACUAAGAGGAAAACAUUUGAUUUGCUUAACACUUUAACAUACAAAUCUUAUAUAUAAAAUAUAUAACACUUUAAUCUUACAAAUCAUACACUUUAAUCUUACUAAUAUAAUAUUUAACAUUUGAUUUGAUUAGCUUAUAAAAUAUAUUCUAUUAUCUAAAAAAUUGUGAAGAUGAAAAAACUUACCUUAUAUGAAUGGAUUGUGGUGUUUGCCAAAAAAAAAAAAGGUUUAGCAAAAAAAAUUUUUUGCCUAAAAAAUAAAAGAAGAGAAGAGUAAAAUGAUGUAUAAUGGGUGAGUAUAACAAUGCUUUGCAUAUCUCGUGUAUAAUGUGUUGGCGUAAGCUUGAACAAGAAGUUAACUUAAGCGAGAAGUUAUCCUCAUCUAACCGAGUUAUGGAAUUAGGAAUAGGAAGUUUAGGAGUUAUCUAGACUUGUAUUAUUCCCUAUUUAGAUUAGGAUAAUGAUGAUGAUCUUUUCUAUAUAUAUGAGUUACCAAGGUGUGGUAAACCAUAAGAGAGAUUAGAGAGAUCUUGAGGGCUUUAGUUUUUGAGUAAGUUUUCUAAAGCAUUAAUAAAGAGAGGAAUUCUUUAUUUGAGUCUCAAGUUCUUAAUAAUCUUGCAAACUAGAUAAUGAGUGUUGAUGUUAGCUUUUGUACUACUUUUUUCAAUUAAAAAAAUCAGAAAAAACUUAUCUUCUAUCAAGUGCGUAUUUCAAUAAAACCACAGGAUAUGGAGAGGGGUUGGUUUUCAAAGCGGUUUAUGACCAUUUUUUGUUUUAAAACCGCAAAUGUUUUUUUUCAUUAACCGCAAAUCUAGAUAAAAAAAGUUGAUUGUUGUCAAAAAUGUGGUUUUCUAUUUUCUAUCUUAAAAUCCGCAAAUGUUAGAUUACCAUUCAUGGCCUUAUUAUGCAUAGCAUCUUUUAAGAGGAUGUCCAGUGGUAGAGAUACUUAUUUAGAGCAUCUCCAGCGGUGAUGCUAUUGAGAGGUACUCAAAAGUUAAAUUAAUUAAAAAAAGAAAUUUGGAGAGAGAAAGACCUUUCGUUGCUCAAUAUAGCAACUCUAGAAACGGUACUAACAUUAUUUUGUACACAUAUCUCUUUCUUGAUUUUUUGGUUCACAAAAAAAAAUAAAAAAUAUAUAUAUAUAAUUAAAAUAAUAUAUACAUAUUUAUAUAUAUAUAUAUAUGUAUAUAUACAAUUUUCUAGUUACUCUACCGAUAGAGUUGGUUUUAGAGUUUUUAGUGAUAUUAUAUUAAUAUUUUUAAUAAAUUUAGUUAUAUAUUUAUAUUUAAAGUUUAAAUAAAUGAGACAUGUAUCCCAUAAUGGUACUUGUUUAAGAAAUAUCAAUGUGUCUCUCUUGUUUUAUUUUUUAUUUUUAUUUUAUUUUUAAAUAGGUAUAAUACUUUGGGAUUAUUAUAUGUUUUGUCUUUUAUAUAAGCAAAACAAUUAAGAGUGCCACAAUGUCAAAAAAAAAAAGUUAAGACUGCCACUUUCAAUAACUUAUUUUAUGCAGUGCCAUAUUGUGUGGGAAAUGCAUGAGCGUAAUGACACAACUAUCCAUUGUCAGAUGGAGAGGUUUUUGCGCAUGGUUCAAAAAAUUGAGUUUGAUGGGACAUUUGUUUUGCAGCUACAUAGAGCAUUAAAUGGUGACAAUUGAGGAUCCAGAGGACAAACGAUUUAUUGGGUAAUUAGAGAGUUAAUUGAACCACAAAAAGAAUAUCUAAGUUUUGUUAAUGGAGGACAAGCAAGAGAGAGGAUUUCUGGAAGUGGUGAAUGCUGAAAAAGGAGAACUAGAUUAAUCUUUGGUGUGUCGAUGGACAAUACCAGACCUUAUAUCAGGACCCGAAUUUUUUUCCUGCGCCACGGAACAUAUAGACGAUCUGUGGAGGACAAAAAACAAAAAUAAACAUUGAUGGACGGAAAGUAAAUAACAAACAAGAGUUUAUCACAAAAGACGACUUAGAAAUAAUGGACGAGUAAGACCGAGACAUCUGGCCCACCAGAAUAUGAUAAAAGGAAAUAAGUAAAUAUUAAUAGACAAUAUAGUAAUGGACAAUAUAGUAGAAUGGACGAGUUUGAAUCGAUUACGUCUAUGAAAAACUUACUCUUUGGUGUGUUGAUGGACAACACCAGAUCUUGUCUCAAGACCCGAAUUUUUGUCCUACGCCACGGAACGAAUAGACGGUCUAUGGAGGCAAAAACAAAAAUAAACAUCGAUGGACGGGAAGUAAAUAGGAAACAAGAGUUUAUCACAAAAGACGAUUUAGAAAUAAUGAACGAGUAAGACCGAGAGAUCUGGUCUACCAGAAUAUGUUGAAAGAAAAAAGUUAAUAUCAAUAGACAAUAUAGUAAGAAUUAAAUAAUUGCGAAUAUAUUUCGUCCAUCUGAAAAUUACUCUUAUGGUUUUUGUGAUAUUUACCUUUUUCCUGAUGUGGUUACGGCGUGAUCCCCUCCUGAUGUGCAUCUCUAUUGACCAGAAUCAAUGGUUCUUCCGUUUUCAUGAACAGCGCCUGGACGGAGCCGUGUUCUCGACGGUGGUGGCAGUGAAACGAUUCUGGGCAACCAUUAGGUUAGAGAAAGGAAUCAGCUAUGUAGUAAAAGGUCGUUGAAGAAGUUGUUUAACAAAAAAAAAUAGAAAGGGUGAGUUGUUUGUCCAUCAGAUAAUACUUUGUUGCUGUGCAUCCGACAUAUAGAGGAGAGAAAACUGAAAGUUGAGUUUUUGGAGAAUAAAAAACACUUUAUGUCGCUUCAGUUCUAUUAAGCUCUUUGGGUUUUGCAGAUUGAUUUAAGAGAGGGGUAAACCAACCUUUCUUACAACAUGCUCUGGCAGGCGGGAGAAGCCCAUUAAAUAAGUGGCAAUUCAAAGAAAUUUUGUCAUUUUACAUGGCAUUGUUUACAAUUUUCUGUAAUACUUUCUCCGACCACCUCCACUCGUGAGAAGUAUUAAAAAGAAGAAAAAAAUAUAUACUUUUUUAUUUUUAUUUUAUUACUUCAACUCCUGAAAAAUUGGCAUAUGUCGCAUUUUAUUUUACUACCGCUGCUAAGAUCACCUCCACUCGUGAGAGGUAAUAAAAAGAAGAAAAAAUGUUAUUUUCUUAAAAAGAAAAGAUUUUAUUACUUCAACUCUUGAAAAAUUGCCAUCUGUCCCAUUUUAUUUUAGUACCGUUGGUAAUGGUACCAUUUUAAGAAACAUUUUUUAUCUCUCUCUUUAAUUUUGUCAUUUUUUAUUAAUUUAUUUUAUUUAAAGUCUCCUUUGAAGUUUUUUACUGGACAUGCUUAGCACCUCGAUAAGCAUCAUUGUUAGAAAGGGUCUAACACCAUCUCCAAUGGUUGAACCUCUCAUGGGAUGUUUAACCAUUUUUUAUGUUUAAAUUUUGGUUUUUCAAAAUUUAAGAGUUUCACCAAUUUUUUUCUCUCCAAUGGUAGAAUUCUUAGUUAGGUUCAUAAGAUUUUUUAUUUUUUUUAGUUUUGUAAAACAAAUGUAUUAAGCAACAAUUUGUCUCGACAUCACCCACUAUGAUUCUCCGAAUACAAAUGGUAGUGUGUAUGCCAACAAUUUGUCUCGACAUCACUAUGCCUUUGUAAAUAGAUAGCCCACAUCUAUUCUCAAAACUUCUUGUAAAGCGAAUCACCAUAUCCCACCAAUAUAAACAAAACAACGAUUCAAUGCAUACCAAAGAGCCUUCGAAAACAUCAACAACUUACCAAUUUGAUUUCUAAAAUAUCUCCUAAACUGAUUUCUGGAACAAGUAUCACUUUCUCUGAAACCUCAAUUGCUUUCUUUUUCAAUUUCUACAAAAAUCAGAUAAUAACACUGAAUCUCCCCAAUCCAUGUAAGGUAAAAUACAAAUCAAGAAAGCAAGUCCCUCAAGCUCAACACAUAACACUAUUUUCACUAAUUGAUGCCAUCCUUUUCAAAAUCAAAAGCAUAAAAUAAGACAAGUCACAAGUAAAAACAAUAACAAAUUAUCAAAUUCACCAACUUAGAAACCACAAAAUCAAAUUCACCAAUUGGGAGAAGAAACCCUAGAAUUAGAUCAUAUAUUUCAUCAUCUAAAAUGAAUUCAUACCCCUCAGAAUCACAAAAACAAACGCAUUCACUUGAUUCUACAAAACCCAGCAACAAAGUGAGAUCAACAAAGAGGAGAGUCUCUUCAAAAAAGGAGAAAGAAAAGUGUCACCUCGGAGAAGAAGAAGAAGAAAAUAUGUUUUUUCUUCUUUUUUUUUAAAGAUUAUUAAUAGUCAUCUGCCACAUCACCCUUAAGAAGAAGAAGAAGGCACCAAAAAAUCAGAAGGGAAUCUGGGCCUUUUGUGUCUGGUUGGCUGGUCACGAUCGAGUAUCAACGGGGGAUCAUAUGCUACGCUGGGAUCGGGGAAUCUCGGGACUGUGUCGCCUCUGCCAGCAAUGUGUAGAGACAAGGGAUCAUUUAUUCUUUGGUUGCGACUACACUUCGGAAAUCUGGGCCUCUAUAGCUAAGGGUCUACUACGGUCGCACCACACAACCAGCUGGCCAGUUCUACUCCAGUUGGUCUCUUCACACCAGCAAGACUGCACUCACACUUUUCUCCUUCGAUAUGCUUUCCAAACCACCGUCUAUGCGGUCUGGCGAGAGAGGAAUGGAAGACAUCAUGGAGAACCUUCAAAACCAGGUUCUCAACUUACUCUCUGGAUCGACAAGCACAUAAGAGAUCGACUAUCUUCUAUUCGGAUGGCGGGCGAUAGACGUUACGAUGAGGGACUUCAAGCGUGGUUCCGGUCUCGACAAUGAUCUUUCAUAGUUGCAAAUUUAAAUCUGUUUUCUAAAGUUUUAAGUUUAAAAAACCGUUGCACUAGUUGUACAAACGUUUAUUUUUCUUUUGAAUAUAAUUUAACAUUAAAUUCAAAAAAAAAAAAAAGCAGAAGGGAAAGAAGGAUGGAAAAGAAGAUGGGACAGUUAAACUUGGAAGGCAAGGAAGAAUCAUGCAUUGUAGUAAGUGUGCUGAAGCUGGACAUAAUUCAGCUGGAUGUGUUAAGUUUCCAAAGGAGAAAAAGAGUAAAAAGAGUGAGACAAGUACCAAGAGUACGAUAAAUAAGGAGAAGAAAAAUCUUGAUGAGGCUGGUCCUUCUACAUUUCAAGCACGAGAGACAGUCACACUCUCACAAGGACCAGAAACACUCUCACAAGGAAGCACUAUCUAGGUUGUCAUAGCAGGUUUAGGAAGAAAGGGUUGUGAGAAGUAACUUGCAUGUUUUUGUUUGGUUUUAGGAGUUAUUGCAGGUUUUUGUUUUGUCAAUUAUUAUGUUAUUUUGACAAAUUUUUAGGCAGUUUUGAAUUUAUGUUUAGUUGGAUGAAUGCUAUUUCAUUAACACACGUUCGUUUCUCAUUAAGAAUUUUUUUCAUAUUUCAUUAGGAGUUUUCUUUCUAGCAUUCUGAUUUCAAAACUACAUUACCCAUGCCCGUUUCAAUCAUAUUUUUCUGCAAUUAGUCAUAUUCUAAAACCAGUCUGCAAUUAGUCAUAUUCUCUCUCUCUCUCUCUCUCUCUCUCUCUCUCUCUCUCUCUCUCUCUCUCUCUCUCUCUCUCUCUCUCUCUCUCUCUCUCUCUCCUGAAAAAGGCGACGGGACGAUUGUUCAGCCAAUUCCCCCGCAAAACCUAGUUCCAAGCUCAUCAAACGUUAAACCAUAGUCCAAAGCUUCGAUCGAAGUCCCGAUAAAAUCAACUAAUCAGUGCUCAGAUCUUGAGAGUCUUAAUUCCAAGGUAAUAUUAAUCUUCCACUAGAUGCAAUCUAAGAUAAGCGAUUACCAAAAAAAAAAAAAUCUAAGAUAAGCUUAUUUUGAUUUGGAUAUAAAGUUUAGGAUUUGUUUGUGUUUUAGUUUGUUUAAUUGAAGAAUCAGAGUGGUAAUCUGAAGUUAAGGAGAAAGAAAUCCGAGAAUUCUAGGUAGAUUUAGGUUAUGAUUACGAAAGCUAGUCUUGAUUUUGAAUUGUUUCUCAACAUCAAUUUUAUUUUUCUGCAUCGUUCUUUGUUUAUUCUUGUGAUUCCCUUCGAUAUAUGUGUGAUGUGUAAUAUUGGUUUUGGAUUGAUACAACUAAACAUGUGCAAAUGGAAUACUUCUAUGGUAAUAUACUAAUUUGUACUUCUAAGUUCUAUCUGAGCAUUAGUACAUUUGGUAUCUUGAUUUUGAUAUGUUCUCCCUCUUUCCUUUUUGUGUAUAGUGAGCUUAUAAAUAUAGUAGUUCCUGGGAGACUAGAUAAAAGAGCGAUAACCACGAAGAGGGUACUUAACCCAUGGGAGAGAAAUGAGAAUCACACGCUCUGUCUUAAGUCUACAAAAGUUGUUGACUGCAGUGUGGUUAAUAUUGGGACUGAGGACUUGGCUGAAGGACGAGUAUGUUUUGCUUGCUUAGUUUCAGUUAAUCAUAAUAUACUAGGGACAUAUUUGACUAGAGGUUUUAUUGUUCCUACAACCACAUAUGUUGCUUGGAUCGAUCUCACAACUGCUCGUUGAUCUUCGUUUGAAAAAAUUAUCUUAGCUUGUUUUCCAAAUGAAUGAAUCAAUUAAUGUUUCAUUGUCUCUUUAACUUCAAAUUUAUGUAUAUGUAUUAAUAGAUAGAGCUUGAAGGAACAUGGUACAUAAGCUAAUGUAUACAAUACAAAGCAAGUGAUAUGUGUUGAUAGAUAGAGAAGUAUUAGAUUUUUUCAGUUCUCUUUCUCCCCAUCUCCUUUUUGUUAAGUUCUAUUUCUCUCCAAAAUAAUUUUAUAAGAACCUCUACUUACCAUUGGAGAUGGUCUUAAAGAACCUCUAAUGGGAGGCUCUUAAUGACUUUCUAAGUAUAAAAAUAUUAAGAAAAAAAAACUUAGAGAGAGAAGUGAUAGAUUGUUUCUAAAACACUUGUACACAUAUGUAUGGUUUGCUUUUUUAUUUUUUAACCAAAAUUUAAUUCAAUAAAUCUCAAAAUAAAAAACCUUAUCAUUGGUGAUGCUCUAACCAUUUUAAUUCGUCAUACUUUUAUUUGUGUCUUAAAAACUUAUUAACUCAAUAUUUGCAAAUUAGUACAUUUUUAAAACAUAAGACUACUUACAAUGGGCUGUUUAAAAAAAUAAUCAACAGCUUAAUAGGAUGCAAUGGUUCAUUGGAGAAAAAGAGAAGCUGAGACCAUCCACAACGGGAGAGCUCCAUUACGGGCUCUUACAAAUAUUUUAAGUAUAAUUUUGUAAAAGUUGAAGUUAGAGAUGGUGUUGGAGUUUAAAAAUUUGUACUACUCCAAUGAUAAGAGCUACGGGGUUUAUAUACAUUUAAAAAAAAAAAAAUCUUCGUCGUUGAAGCCUCACCUAAAAAGAGAGAAAAAAACUCGCAACAGUGUUAUAUUAAUCAACAAUCAGAACAAAUAGACGAAUCUAUCAACUUUUCAAAAUCUUAAGAACCAAACACAGAUGAACUAAUCCUGGAAAACUAGUUCCUUUGACAAAUAAAUAUCGAACAAUCAUAGUCUAACACUCCAAAUCUCCAAAUUUCCAGUUAGACAGAAAGAUAACAAAAGGUGCCAUUUUCAGUGCAAGAGAUAAAGACUCAAACAAAAACCAUGUUAUCAAUGAGAACCCAAAUAAAAAGAAUAACAAAAAAAAAGUUGUUCACUUUUGCUUCCUUAUUCUCCAUCGUUCUCCUUCUGGUUAUAUAUAGUCUGCAAUCUCAAUUGCUUCUUAAAAAGCUCAUAUUCCAAUUUCUCCUCUUUUUCAUUAGAGGAUUCAGAGCCGCCAGUGAGAAAGAGAAGAGAAAGGCUAAGAUUUUUUUUCUUUCUAACUAACCAUCCACUUAUACGACGCCACGUAACCGUCUCGUACCAUAACAAAAAUCUCCUAUUUAGGAGACGGUUCAUCAUUAACACCAAUUAAACAUUAAAUUUUUAUCACUUUUACUCUAAGGCCAACUCCACUAGAGAAACUCAUAAAAGUUGUUUAAAAAUAAACUACUCAAAAAAAUCUAUUAACAACUUUAAACAAAAUCACCCUUCCACUAGAGAACUCCUAUCAAGCGUACUAAAUCAUUAUAAUAGUAUUUUGUUAAUAGUUGUUAAUUGUAUAUGAAAUUUAAAUAAAUUAGCAAAUAAUUCAAAAAUAACACAACAAGUACUUAAAUAACCAAAAAGGGGAAUACGUCAAGGUGAUCCGUUGUCACCAUUUUUAUUUAUCCUAUGUGCUGAAGCAUUGGUUCAUAUUAUGAAAAAAAACAGAACAAGAAGUAAGGCUUACGGGUAUGCGUCUAACGCCGGAAUGUCCGUCUAUACAGCACUUGCUCUUUCCCGAUGACAGCUUAUUUUUGUGCCAAGCAAGUUUGAAGGAGUGUACUGAAUUUUUACAUUGUUUGGAUGUGUAUGGUAAAGCUUCAGGCCAAGUUAUUAAUUUCCAAAAGUCGUCUAUAACAUUUGGAAAAAGAUGGAUCCAUAUAUGAGACGUGUUAUAGGUGCUUUCACUGGAAUAGAACAAGUUGGAGACGGUGGGAAGUAUUUAGGCUUACCGGAAUGCUUUAGCGAGUCUAAACGGGAGCUGUUGGCUUUUAUCAAUGAUCGUUUGGACUCGAUAUUGAAGGGAUGGAAUGAGAAGACCUUAUUGCUGGGAGGGAAGGCGGUUUUAUUGAAAUCUGUAGCAUUAUCGAUGCCGGUGUAUGCUAUGUCGUGUUUCCGUCUUACUAAAGAUCAGUGUAAGAAGCUUACAAGUGCAAUGUCCAGUUUUUGGUGGAAUGCUACAGAAGACAAACAAAAGAUGCAUUGGGUGGCUUGGGAGAAGGUUUGUAAGUUGAAGUCUCAAGGUGGCUUGGGUUUUCGGGACAUUGGUCGCUUUAACCAAGCUCUUCUUGCAAAGCAAGCUUGGAGAUUAUUGGAUUCACCUCAAUCUCUGCUAGCUAGAGUAUAUAAGGCUCGAUAUUUCCCUAGAACAGAGUUUGUGGAAGCUAUGAUGGGAUCUAGGCCUUCUUAUGCUUGGCGUAGCAUUAUGUUUGGUAGAGAACUGCUAGAAAAAGGGUUGAUGAAGACGAUUGGGAAUGGUUGCUUUACACGGGUGUGGCUAGAGAAAUGGGUUUUUGAUGAUUCCCCUUGGAGACCAGUCAAUAAGAAUCAGUUUUAUGAUUUAAAUUUACAAGUCUCUGCCCUCAUUCGACCACAAGGUGAUUGGAAUGUUGAGCUUUUAAAUGAAUACUUUCCUCCUUGUGAUGUGGUUAAAAUAAGAACCUUCCCCCCGGAGAUAAGUUUACCUGAUAAACUUAUGUGGGGUUAUACUAAUGAUGGCCGUUACUCGGUGAAAAGUGGCUAUUGGUUACUUAAUAGAGACUUAUAUCACUUUGUGGAGGUGUCUGAGAAUAUUAAGCACGUCAAGACACUACCGAAGAUUCACAUAUUUCUCUGGAGAGUGCUCUCGGAUGCGUUAGCAGUAGCCUCUUGUAUGCGUUCUCAUGGCUUAAGUGUCAAUCAUAUUUGUCAACUCUGCCAUCAAGAGGAGGAGUCUGUCUCACAUGUCUUAUUUAGGUGCACUCUUGCAUCCCAAGUUUGGGGAGCAACCCAUCUUCCUUUGCCGAGUAAUGGUUUCAUUGCUUCAAUAGCAGAGAAUGUGGAAUUUAUGUUGGAUUUGGUAUCUAGAGUUGAUUUACCUCUUCCAAUGAGAAAUGCAAUUCCUUGGAUCCUUUGGGAGAUUUGGAAAGGAAGGAAUUCAGCUGUUUUUACCGCUAAGGUGCCACAUCAUGAUGUUGUAACUGCUGGUGCGAUAUCUGCCAUGGAGGAAUGGAUGUGUCAACAACAUUUGCAGAACCAAGAUGAUGUUUGGUCUGGCCCUCAUCCGAGUGUGCUUUCAAGAAGGUGGUUGCGGCCAGCUGAAGGUGUUUUGAAAUGUAACCUUCAUGCAUCAUGGAGAAAUGCCUCUGGUUUUUGUGGAGAAGCAUGGAUUCUGCGGAAUUCUGUUGGUGAUGUGCUGUUCCAUGCGCGGGAUGCUUUCUUACCAAUGGUUAAUAGCAUAGCAGCGGAACUGCAUUGUAUUUAUUGGUGUCUGACAAGCCUCAAAGAUAUCAGAAUCGCAAGUUGUGAGGUUUGGACGGAUUGUAACGCGGUAGUUUUGGCGUUAGAGAAGCCUAUGGAGUGGCCUAAAUACCGUUCGUUACUGCUCAAAGUGCAGCAAGCUCAACAACGGUUUCAAGGAGUAUCCUUUCACCUUUCUUCUUCGCAAGCGAACUCGGUAGCACGUGACAUUGCAGGUAGUGUUACGAGAGAUGGCCGGCUCACUUCAUAUUUAUCCUUGGGAGGACCGGCGUGGUCACAUCAGCGCAUUCAAAGGGACCGGUGUUAGCUUGUUUUUGAUUAAUUAUCUAUGAUUUUAUUAUGCUCUGUUUUUAUUCCUUCCUCUGUCCCUGCAACUUUUAACAAUAAAGAUGACAAUUAAAAAAAAAAGUACUUAAAUUACUUAUAGGGUGUGUUGGCAAACUAGUACGUUUUUGAAACAUAAUUAUAAAUAUAGUACAUUUACUAUUCACAAUUAGCAAAAUAGUACAAUUUUACUAUUUCAGAUAUCUUUACAGACAGACAACUGUACAGUAACAUAUCAUUGUACAUCAAAUAUUUGUACAAAGAAAAACAACUACAUAUAAACAUAUUUACACAUAAACAAAUAUACAUAUAUAGACCAGAAAAUAUCUGUACACGUACAAUUAUACGUAUAUAUAGACCGCUGUACGGAUAAUUUUCCGUAUAUCGACACACUACUGUACAUAAGGAUAGCUGGACGUAUCAAAAUUUAUUUGAAAAAUAUUUGAAAUUAUAUUUAAAAAAAUGCAUAUCAAAUUAUAGAGAAAAAAUAUAGAUUUUUAUGUAAUUGAAAUUUUAUAGAAAACAAAUAUAUUUUGAUGAAUAUUUUUAGUUAUUAGAUUUAAGGGGGUUUUUAAUAGGUUCUAAAUAGUGUCCAAAUAGUAAAAAUGUAUUAGUUUGCUAAUAAUGAAUAGUAAAUGUACUACUUCUACAAUUAUGUUUCAAAAAUGUACUCAAAACCCAAUUAAUUCUUACUUAUAUUACAUUAAAAAUUUUUAAAAAAAAAUUUACAUAAUUCAGAAAUUUAAACCUCAUGUGCUAAGUCAGUUUGUCGAGGUCGAACAAACGAUCAAAACACUUCUUCUGAAAAAGGUUUAUAACAUUCAUAGAAAUCCCAUUUCGAACUUCAUAGUGAUGAUGAUCUAUUUGUUGGACAGAUAAAAUACUUGCUUUCACAACACGGUCGUGAUAGAGUUCAACCAUGAAAGAUAUAAAAUUUUAUAAUUUGUAAUCCACCGUAUUCACAAAUGUACAAUUCAAUCGUACUUGUACCAGCUUCUCAACACCUUUAGUAAGGACUAUAGUCAUCAUACGAGGUUGGAUUCGCCUUGCAGGAGACCAUCGUGCAAUAUCAACCUUAUCUUGGCCACAAAUAUAUAAAAUAACAUGGGUCAUCAAAAGGACAUUUAAAUCAAUAGCACAUAGGAAGAGGACGAUAUUAAAGAAAGGAUGAGACGUGAGAAGAUCAAGUACCAUGAUGAAUGUAUCAACAUAACAUUACAUGGGCUUUAAGAUAUGUAUUAAAACAUAUCACAACGAGAAACAAGAACACUAAAGCAAGCUUUAACGUACGAAGGUAUCACUAGAUACGUUUAACUUUGUAAACCAUUGUUGAAAAAAGACACAACCCUAUCCAUUUCAUUCUUCUUCAGACACAUUCCAAUCUCCACACCACCUGAUCCCUCACAUCUCUCAGCCAUAGAGAACGCUUCUGCUUGAUCAAUGGAAACAACAUCAACCUUAACGGGUCUUCCCCACCCAAAAUCCGACUCGUAUAUUCCCAACCGGGUUGACCCGGCUAUUGCACCAAACUGUGUGCUCCCUUUUAGAAAAUAGAAACUGUCGGCAAACUCCUUCACGAUCAUCUCUUUCUUUCUUGAACUCAACUCUUUGACCAAACCACUAAGUAUCUCAACCGCCGUAACAAACCCUUUCUCUCCCAUAAACUCCGACGCCUUACGGUUGUAACAACCCACCGGAAACUGUAUGUUUCCGAAGUAAGUCGCCGGAAGUUUCGGAUCCAAACGUUCUCUAAAAUCUCCGACAAAUAGUAAACUCACUAACCUCUCUCCAUGUCCUCCACGUGCCAUUACGAAGCAUGUCCACGUGUAAGCGUAAGCAAUGACAAAAGUAGACAAGUGGAGGCUUUGUGACACGUUCUUGACUUGUUCUUUAAGUCUUUCCACGUCAUCUUUAGAGAGUACGAGCGUGGCCAAGACUACGUCAUCUCCGAGUACUCUUUUGGGAAACGGAGUCAAGCUUCUGAUGUUGGUUUUGUCCUUUUUGUUAGAUCUCACCGUAUCGAUCAUCUUCUCAUCGAGUCCGGUUAAGUCUUUUAACAAAGACCGAUCAUAAGAAGGAGUUAGAUUCUCUGGUAGAGAGAUUACGUUAUCGAGUUGUUGUUUGCAUAUGUGAGCCCAAGCUUUCAUAAACAUGCUUGCCGUUUUCCCGUCUAAAACGGCGUGGUGUCCUGCGACGCCUAUGGAGAUUCCUUGGUUCGGGAACAACGUGAUUUGUAUGGAGAAGGCAGUGGCUGAGUCAUCAGUAACUGGUAACUUGGGAAGCAAGGCAUGUAACUCGGAGACAGGACGUUGUCCAUAGCCGGAGAUAUGAGAAAAGUCAGCUUCACUCUCGGCUAUAGUCACCAAAACGGCGUCGUUUGGUGCGACAACGAUGCUUGGUUUGGAUUCGUUUGGAUCCCAAGUGAUGUGGCCGGUGAGAGGGAAGUAGUUGUGGAGGACAAGGGAGAGAGAGAGCUUGAGCUUAGGGAGGAUAAUGGAGAUGAAGUUCUCAUGGGUUGACUCGGUGAGUUUGUAGAAGAAGACUCGUUUGACGGGGUGGAACAGUAGCCAUGGUAGGUCGAAGAAAGUUAAAGGAAGGGAGAACGAGUUGGCUGAGUUGAGAACAGAGUCUGAGUCGGCGGCAGGGGUGACUCGGGUAAUGUCAAUGAUGUGUAGCGUCAUCGUGAAGAAGAAAGUGAAAAAGAGUGAUUGAAGUUAUCAACUGCAAACCAAUAAUGGAUCUCAUCAAUAUAGUUUUAGUAUAUAUUUAUGUUCAAAUUUUAGGAAAUUAUUAUUUAGGUACAGAAUGUUACGUGAUUAUGAUGUUUGUUUGUCUCUUUAGGACACACGUACACGAAGUAAUGACAUAUGUUUUCGUGGUAUUAUUUGUCAGGUUUGAUAUGAUUAGUAGGUGGGAGUGAUUGGUUUACAUGUUCCAUGUUUAGUAUUAUUGCCGUAGUGGUUUAGCUUUUGUCUUUAUUGAAAACUUAUUUAAUUAAUUUAGUAAUGUACUAUCUUGAAAAGUUAAAAGGGAAAUUGCAUUCUAUAUAUCCAGUUGACCAGUUGAUUAAGUAUAUGUCACUCUUUUUUUUAUAAUUAGCUCUAUUUUUAAGGACAAUUUUAGUCUUGGAAUAUUUAGUUAACUGAUAACUGAAUUAGCAUAAUAAAUUUAAACUUAUAAAUAUAUAUAAUAUGUUAUCGUGGUAAUUCAGUUCAAUAAAUAAAUAAUAAUAACAUAAAAACUUAUCAGAUAACUAUACAUUUAACACACUAUAUAUGAUGUCAAAAAUAGCAAAAGCAAGAAAAAAUGAAGUAAUGAUGGAAAAAUUGGAAACAAAACGAUGAUGUGGAUGAAGAUAUUUCCAAGGUGGUGUUCAUUGGAAGGAAAAGAGGUGACACUUUUAGCGAUGGUUUUACUCGUGGUGGUGGUGACGAUGAUACUGACGGUAAAGUUUGAUAUGUGUCAAUAGUUACGAAAACAAAAUUUGUAUACCCUUUAAUAAUACAUGGUUAAAUAUAUUUUUGAGGUUUAGAUUUUAUAAUUAAAACAAAAUUAUAUAUCAGUUUGGGUUUAUAAAUAGAUCUUAGGGUUUAGAUAUUACAAUUAAAUUGCAUACUAAUAUGUCAGUUUGGGUUUAUAAAUGAGUGGUUAGGGUUUAGAUUUUACAAUUAAAACAAAAUUAUAUGUCGGUUUGGGUUUAUAAAGGAGUGGUUAGGGUUUAGAUUUUACAAUUAAAACAAAAUUAUAUGUCGGCUUGGGUUUAUAAAGGAGUGGCUAGAGUUUAGAUUUUAUAAUUAAAACGAAAUUAUAUAUCGGUUUGGGUUGAUAAAAUAGUGGUUAUAUAUGUACAAAUUUUGUUAACACGGUAAAUAUAAAUGUAUCACAUAAAUCAUAAUUUAUCGCGAUACAAAACAUUUUGACACGAUAUAUUUAUAAACUUAUAUGUAUAUAUAUAUAUUGUUAUCAAGGUAAUUCAAUAGUUAUUCACCUAACUUAUAACAUGAUUUUACUUAUGUAUUUGAUAAAUAGUACUGUUGAUACUUAUAUCAUUAUCACGUUAAAUAAUUUGUUAGAUGCAAAAAGAUUUUUUUGUCCACUUAUACAAAUUGAGGAGAGAGAACUAAUUAUACAUUUAAUAAUGCUAUAUUCUUAAUUUGUUGGUCAACUGAGUAUAGAAGUUUAAUUUACCCAAAGUUAAAAUAGUAUCUUGCAUAUCUAUAUAUAUAAAGUUAGUUUUUUCUCUCUUCUCAUGAUGCCACCUAAGCAUCCACAUAAGCCACAUUUCUUUUACAUUAAAAUAAUUUUAAAACAUUCAUUUAGUGCAUAUUUAUGCUACUUAUUUAAUUAAUAGAAAAUUUAUAUAAAUAAAAAUAAUUUAUGUAAAUAAAUGAAAUGUUAAAUAAGAAAUACUUUCAUUAUUUAUUAGUUAGUAGUAAUAAUAUAAUUCAAAUUUCAUUUUAAAUUGAUCAUAGUUUAAAAUUUUAAAUGUGUUACUGAGUUUAAGAAUGUAAGUAAAUUUUAAAUUUAUGGUAGAAUAAAAACAACAUUUAUGUAAUUGUAUAUAUAAAUUUUUAAAGGGGAAAAAUAAAAUUGAAAGUGAAAUAUUAGUUUAUAACAUGAUCAAAAAGAAAAUGCUUUUAAUCCAAAUUUAAAUAUUGAAAGAUAAUAAUUCAAGAGAAAAUAACUAUAAUAUGUUUUGAAAAUCAAUUAAAAUAAUUAAAAGAUCACAAUAUAAAUUAAAAAAUUAACAAAAAAAUUAUAAACCUCCUGCGCGUAGCGUGGGUCAACUGCUAGUUUUAAAUAAAGCAUGGAUGGGGUUGGCUAUAAUCAUUCACAACAUGUCUUGGCUUUAAAUAUUUGGGCGAUUCUCGUUCAUAACACCAAAACAAGUUUUGUUUUCAAAUCAACUUUAUCACACACUACACAAAAUUCUAAAAUAGCAUUAUAUUUCAUAAUUAAAUUUUCAAAAUUAAUUCUCAAAUUCUAAAUACUAAACCGUACUUCCUAUAAACUAUUUUAUAUAUUUUAUUUAGAGAUGUUCAAAUGAUACUUGUAGAUGAAUGUGUUACUUUUUGGAAAUUUUAGAGAAAAUAAAAUUUUGGGUGUGUUAAUAUAGGAACGAAUUUAGAUGUUUGAGUUGGUUACAAAAUAUCUUGGGAAGAUACCAAAUCAUAUGAUGACCAGAACCAAACCAUGAUGAGUAAAGAAAAAUAUGAAAUUUUAACCUCAUUUUACUUUCCCUAAAAUUGUCACAACUCACAACCAAAACAAGAAAUUCAAAUAUACCAUGAGAAAAGUAAAUGGCUUUUGUUCCUCUAAAAGAAAAAGAUGUUUUUGUGAUUGAGGUUCGGAGAAGAUCGGGUAAAAUCUCGUGGCCAAAUAGAGAUAUUUAGUAAUUUUAUGCUUGAGCAGAAUCGAUCUCUUGCCUACACCAACAAAACAAUUCUUCUCUCAAACGAAAACCACUAGACCAAAGACCAUUUGGUUUUCUCGUCUCGUUAUGAAGCAGUGAACGCAUGGUUUUGGUGGUUAAUCUUAGAAGUAUUAUUAUCAGUGAAUGAUUAGUUGUAUUAGGUACGAUCGAUUGGCACAUGUUUCACAUAUUAGUUUGAUUGUCAGCCGCAGUUCAAACCGUAACCUUAUUCUGUUGUCUUGUCCUUAAACAACAGACACGUACUGUAUAUGGUUGCCUGGCUGUAGUAGUCACUACUGAUAGUCUGAUAAUAUGCCUGGUCUAAAUUGUUUCACCCAAUUAAUUGUCAUCAGUAAUUUUCAUCAGCACAUUAAAGAUAUGUAUUUCUUUAUACUUUAUAGAGUACUUCUUAGGUUAAUUAUUUAGCAGUCUUGUUUUGCAAGAAACGUACCUAGUUGGGUUAGUUUUAAUUGUAAUCUAAAACACAUAUCUUGACGUUAAUAAAAGUUUAACAAACAUAGGAACAAACCAAGACCUCAAUGAUGCGGACAUCAGAACUAUAUCAAACCAAGAGCACAACAAACCGGUCUACAUGGAGAAUCUUGGAGAAUCUUUGUCUAAAUGGAGCUUUGAUCAAGUAAAAGACGAAGGGUUAAUUAUUCACCAUGAUAUUAACCCUAAGAAGUCCGACAGUUCAAGAGGGAUCAAAAAUCAGCAAGUCAAAUCACCUUAUUAUUGGGAUAUGGCUGUUGCACUCUUUUUCCCUUAUCUAGGGUUUGUCCCAAUGGGUUUACCUAGAAAGGUUUUUAAUGAGGCAACACCAAGUCAUCAAGGAAUCAUUCACCAUCCAUAUGAUUCAAAGAUGAUAGCUGAUGUACAUUCUGAUCUACUCGCGGACAAGCAUGCUGAACUACUCGCUGACAAGCAUGCUGAACUACUCGCUGACAAGCAUGCUGAACUACUCGCUGACCGACUGCCUGAACUACUCGCUGACCGACUACCUGAACUACAUCAGAUUGCGAGCUUUGAGGAUUUGAAGUCUUUUAACACUUGGAUCAGCCAUGAAGGGAGUCCACACAUUCAUUUGAUUCACCAAAAGGCCCCAGCCCAUGGAGAACAGCCCAAGAGAAGACCCAAGUCUAAACCACCAUUUGAAUCAAGGCGAUUGAUCUACUUGGAGCAAGAUAAGGAAAAUCUCCUUUACCUUCAUAUGGACGUGUCUCAAAGCUACAUAUGGAAACCAGGAGAACCUCUAAAGCCACCAGAGAAUAUUUGGAGUAUAUUCACACACAAUNNNNNNNNNNNNNNNNNNNNNNNNNNNNNNNNNNNNNNNNNNNNNNNNNNNNNNNNNNNNNNNNNNNNNNNNNNNNNNNNNNNNNNNNNNNNNNNNNNNNACUCGCCUUUUCCGGACUCGAUUGUCAUCAAGGCACAACGACUCUUGCCUAUUAAGUUCAUGUGUGUGAUACAGCAUCUCCAAGUGCAUAAGAAGCUUCCAAAACGUCACUAUUACCUUCCCAAGUUGACGAGAUACAAGGCACACCUCACUUGCCUUAUUUGGACCGAUUCUACACUUAAUGUUCCAACAUCCAUAUUUUCAUUAAUUGUUGCGAUUUGUAUCUUCUUUCUAGGUUUAGAACGUGUGUACUCAGCCUAUAUAAGCUGAUCAUUAGUUUCAUUGUAAAAACACCCUUGAUCAAUAUAAAGUUAUAGAAAGUUUUCUUCUUGUCAAAGUUUGAGUCUUUGUCAAUCUUGUUCUUUAGUUCUUUGUGAGUGAGUCACUUAGUGCUUUAGAAACCUGCGGAUUAAGUUUGUUGAGUGAUUCAACACCUUCAUUCGUCCAUUGAUCGAGUGAGUCGAUUACCCCACUGAUUGAGCGAGUCAAUCACCUGAACUAUCCCCUGAACCACCCACUGAUUCACGAGAGAGUGCUUCUGGCCAGCUCGUGAAUUCCACCUUCCGCAAGCUAAGCUUGGAAUCUCUUGAUCAUCAAGUGAUCUAAAGUUUGGAGUGAUUCCAAUCUUGCAUCACUCAAUUCAUAAUUACAGAUUGGUUCGAAUGGUUUAUGUGUUAGAGACUUGAAUCGUUAUAGCAUCUACAAAACAUUUCCAUAUAAAAAAAAAUCUCAUAAAAUCUAGAAUCUCAUAUUUUCAUAUCCAAGAUCAUAGAGAACCAUUUAUAAACCAUUUUGAUAUAAAGAAAGAAGAAAAUAUUAUAUAUUAUGCCAUGUACAGUAACAAUUUUUGUAUGGAUUGCCAUUUUUUUCAUGGGAUUCUCCCGCCUGCCACAGCCCAUAGAUAAAAAAGACAUAUUUGCCCAUCUUUUUAAUUAACCCUGAAAAACCAAAAUAUAGUUUGCAACUGCAACACAUAAAAUUUUUCUCUCUCAAUAACGUAACCUUUCAAGUUUCUCUCCCCUACCCGUUGAUUCACAGUAACAACAACGAAGCAUUCUUCAAUGGUUAGAUAAUUCAUCCUUUCUUAAUAUUUUUGUUAAACAAGUUCUCCAACCCCUUUCUACCACCAAAGCGAUUCCUUUCCCUAACCUAAUGGCUGACCAGAAUCUUUCCAUCGCCAUCACUAUUGAAGACACCGCUUCCUAUGGCGGAACAGCCACUGGCAACAUAGAAGUGAACACCCCCAGAAGCCGUUCGCAAAACCGCUGGAACCAUUAAUUCCGGCCAAAGGAAAUCCCUGUUGAUGUAAGUUUUGAUGGACCAGAUCUAUACCAAAUUGUGUCUAUGAGGUUUUUGGUCUAUUGUAAGUCAUCCUCUAACAAUCAGUUUACAGAUUGUCCAUCGGAUCUACAUAACAAAACUGUCCAUCAGUAAGUCCAAUAGACAACCUUCCGCAGGACAAAGUUGUUGAUCCAGUAGACAACCCUCCUCAGCCCAGGUAAACUAUAUAGACCAUUUAUAUUUUUGUUGGAAGCUCUACCAUUUUUCCUUUCCAUUUUCUGUUUAUUGAUGGACAAAAUUUGUUAUUUAGGACCUCUGUAGACAACGUAGCAGAAGACACUAAUGGACCAGAUCCGAUGGACUAGAUUCGUUAGACCAUAUCCCAUGGACUAGAUCCCGUGGACCAGAUCCAAUGUCUGUAAUAUGUCCAUAUUUUGUUUCCUAACUUGUUGUACAUCGUACGUAUAUAGAAAACUAAGUCUAUUUUUUUUUAUAAACGAACUUGUCUAUAAUAUAUAUGUUAGUGUGGUAAUAAUGUUGUGUAGUGAAAAAGACCAACCAAUAAUGAUGGACGAUACUUGUAUCUAUCUUGUCUGUUGUAAUUAAGCUGCAACACUCGAAAAUCUCUUCUCCUUCUUUAGCCAAUAAUGAUGGACGAUAUUUGCACUAAUUUUUAGUAUCUAUCUUUCCGCCGUAUUCAGUUGUCCUCUGGAUAUUAAGCUACAUCCCAGCUAUAAAAUGCAACUGUUUGCUCACGCAAACAUGCCCCAUCUUGUAUUAUUUUUUGAACCCAGUGCAAUUUUGUUCUCAUUUGGCGAGGACAAUAAAAUCUUUUUUCUCUGCAUUAAAAAAGUAAUAUUGCACUGCAGAAAAUAGAUUGGAGAAAAUGGCAGUAUCAGUUUUUUGAGUUUCAUAAAUGAUUGUAAUGCCCGUGUUCUGGAAAUUAAUAUGAGACUUGAAUGUGUAUAAGAAUUAGGGUGGAGUCGGUUUGAUUCUGGUGGAUUUCCUAAUCUGGUCGAUUUGUUUAAUUGAAUCAAAGAAGGUUUAAUUAAUGUCGGUUUAGGUAAACCCUGAUUUAAUCAAAAUUAAACCAAAAACCCUAGUUUUAUAAAGAACACUUCAUUCUCUCUUUUGUUUUGUUGUUGUUGUUUCUGAGAGUUGAGUUGAGAAAAAGAGAAGGAGAAGUUCACUUGUGAGAAGGAGAGGGUUAGCUUUGCUUUGGUGUUUAAGGCAAGAGAAGCAGAUUCGUCACGUCCUGGUAGAAUAGAGUUACGACGUAUCAAAUCUUAUCGAAAGGUAAUGAAUUUUGGUAGGUUUGUUCUUAAGGCGUGUACGUUGAUUCUCCUUUUUACAGAAGUGAAUUCAGAUUAAUACUCAGUGAGUUAUAUGCAGUGUGGUGAGACGCGUUUUCUCUGUUGCGAACUAGGAUCAGCGGAGUUUGUAAGUGCGAUCGUGGUUUCAUCCUUUCUCCGAUCGGCACCAAAUUUUUUGGGGAGCUUCGUGACGUCUGGAUCUUGCUUUUCACCAUAGGGAUUAAGAAGUUAUAUGCAGGUUGGUUUAUGUUUUAGGGCUUCGUUUCUGCGGCUGUAGUUUUUCUGGUGUUUCUGUCCCUUUGGUUCUUAAAGAUUUGUGUUUGUGUGGUUUGUUGUAUGGCGUUGUUUGGCUGUUGCAGUCGCGAGGAGAGUCUUUCCUGGUUGUUUUUGUUAUUCAAAUCACCUUGUUAAGGUGAGUGCGUGACCAUGAGCUUAUCUAAGCUAUUGGGAUUGAGUGACUUGUUGUGUGAUGAUUUGUAGGUGAACUUGAUGUGUUAUUGGAUGUUUAGCUUACUGGAUGGUUUGUUUUUGUUAUAUAUGUGGGUGUUAUCUCAUUGCUUGUGUGUAUAGCUCGUAGAUGGGAGGAUCGCCCUCACUAAGUAUUUAUACAAUACUUAUGCAUCUCUUUCUUUGAUGCAGGUAAAGGCAAAGUGUGAUCCGUGGAAUCAUGGCGAGGAGAGGAGGAUGAUCUAGGCGCUCAUUGGUGUUUUAGAUUAUUGUUGGAUUUGUUAGGUUAGAAUGGAAUUUAGAAACAUGUUAGGAUGAUCAUGUUUUGGAAUAAUGUUUGGUUGAACUUGAUGGUUUAAUGGAAUUGUUUUAUUGGAUUUUUGGUUAAGUCUUCCGCUGGUUAAUAUUGUUGGUUUACUUUAAUGAGAUUUCUUGGUUUAAUUGAUUUAAAUUAUUAUGGCCGGUUUAGCUGGUUUGAAUUAAUUGGGUUAAUCCGGUUUGCAUGUUUAAAAGAAAAAAAAUGGGAUGGGUUCUUUCAAUGACAUACACAACAAAAUUUCAUAGAAAGGAAUAUAUCCAUCUCACAUUUCUUCAAACACAAACCGAUAUCCACACCACCAGACUCAUCCUUCCUCUCCGACAUAGAAAUUGCCUCGUUACGGUCUAUGGACACAAUCUCACUAGUACAAGGUUUCCCCCACGCCCAAAAUCUGACCCGUAGAGACUAAACCUGUUCGAACCAGCAAUGGAACUUGUCAGUGUACCCGGUUUCACACUCUUUGUUCCAUCAAUGUACAAGUCACAAAUUGUUUCCAUUUCUUGUGAACCAAUACUUCUAACCGAAUCACUUAAAAUUUCGACUGCGUUGACAAAUCCAUCUUCUCUCAAAAAUACAUUCGCCUUGAAUACGUUCAUCUUUUAUUAGUAAAAUACAUUAAAAUCUAAAAUAACACAAAAUUAAAUAAAACUUGUUUUAAAUGUAUUUUAGAAUGCAUCACAAAAAUACAUAAUGCAAUAACACCAGAUUUUAAAGUACUUUUUCAAAUACACAAUUGAAUAAGUGAAAAUUAACUAGAUUAACAUAAAUUUGGGUAAAAAUAACUCAAUUAACACACAUUAGUAUCACAUUACUAGAUUGACAUAAAAUUUGUGUAAAAAGACCAAAAGCCCAAAUUAUUUUUUGAAUGAAGUUUUAUAUUUUAUAAAAUAAACAAAAAAAAUGUUAAUAAAUAAAUUAAAUAAAAAAAAACAAAAUAAAACAAAACAUAAAAAAAAAAAGAAUUAUUGGGACUUUGUAUCGGUAUUUGUCAAGAAAUGGCCAAGAACCCUAAUUUGAGUAUCGAUGAUUCCAUUUAGCUUCAGGCGCCGGAGUAAAUCUAGUUAUUUGGCUUCCGUCUAACGACUUCCGGAGUAAGUUAAUUUUCAGUUCUAUUAGAUUUAAGUUUUCAGUAAUUCAUUUAUUCAAAUUUUCAGUUUUUGUUCGUGAUUAGAUAUUUCUCAUUAGGAUGAGUUCUUCUCCGGUCGUUUACAAAUGUUUCCUUGUAUUGAAGGCUCACACGUAAAUCUGUGAGAUAGAUGUUCUAUGUUCUUUUGCAGGUAUUGGUAAACACAGCCGUUGACAUGCUUCACUUCCUCUAGCUGUGAAGACAUUAAUAUGAUUAAUUAACAAGCUGAGGAAUGGAAUGUUGCGUUAAAGGUUGUUGGAGUUUGAGCCUUUGAUCAAACCUGCAACUAAGAAAGCUUUAUGAGAAGAUGAAGAAAAGAGAAGAAGCUUUAUAGGGUGGCUGUAGCUAGUAGCUGUUGAGUGCCAUAGAGUCAUGAGUGUCUUGAGGAGCAUGAUUGCUUGUAUAAGUGUCGUAGUGACGUAGUAUAAAACUAUGUGUGUGUGUUGUGUAAGUGACAUCCAAGUUUAAUGCAGUUAAAUUAGGGUUUGUUAUGGGCUUCUAACUCAAAACCAAUUGACAAUGAGUGGAUUGGCCCUAAUCUCUUAUAUAUUACUGAAGUCCCCUCACAUCUUCCGAUGUGGGAUCUUUUCUCCACAUGCCCCCUUGAGAUAAUGGCUUUUUUAUCCAUUAAUCUCGACAGAAUCCAUCACGCCCCCUCGAGAUAAUGCUCUUCUAGAGCGCUCGAUGGAAUUGGGCCUUCUUUUGGGCCAUCAAUUAAUGGGGUGAUCGGGCCUCUAUCCGGGCCGGAUUAAUUAAUGGGUCAGCGUGUGUUCGGGCUCUGAUACCAUGUUAAAUUAGGGUUUGUUAUGGGCUUCCAACUCAAAACCAAUUGGCAAUGAGUGGAUUGGCCCUAAUCCCUUAAAUGUAAUGUAGUGUUUUGAGUAAAAACGUUUUGUGUUAUCUCUCUAACAAGAACUAAAACAAAGAGUGAAUCAAAGAGAGAGAGAGAUCAGAAACAUAAAGAAUGAGAGUACAAACCUUGAGAGGUAAGAAGUGUGAUUGUCAACAAAGGUACAUGUUUGAUGAGACAAGACCAACAGUUAGUGUGGCCUCAAUUCCGACCCAGCAGAAUCUAUGGUUGAGUUCAAAUUUAGCAAAUACUUGUGUUACUUCAUAUAGGUGUAUCAUAUCUCUUUCAGACUGAUGAUUCUUCUUUGUAACACUGUAUAUGUGGCCAAUUGUUUAGUGUACCCGAACAGGUCUACGUAAUGUGACUGUAGAGCAGCGAUAUUUGUAGUGAGAUCAAAUGUAACUUAAGUGGAUAUUUAUAUAAAAGUUUGAAUUUUCCUGGUGUCACAAUUCACAAGGCCUUAAAAAUAACUAACUGAUUUGCAACUAACAAAAGAAAGAGAACCAAAAUAAUAAUAUUAACUAAACCUUAAUAUAAGUAUGUAAUUACCCUACUAAACGAUAACAAAAUAUGUCACUAAACCUUAAUAUAAGUCAGUCAUUACCCUAUAAAAAGAAAAGAAAAUCUGUCGCUAAACCUUAAUAUAAGUAUGUCAUUACCCUACAAAAAACUCUGUCAUGACAUGUAACAAUUCUGUCGCUACAUACACAUCUAAUACAUCUGAACAUACAACAGUUUUAUGAUAUUUUUUUUUUUAUAGAAAAAAAUUCUGUCACAAGAAAAAUUAAUCUGCCAUAACGUACUACGGAAAAGGGUCAUUCUAGCAAUUUUUAACAAAGUUUAACAAAUCGGUCAUCAAGUGACAGUUUUUAAAAAAAUUUAAAAUUUGUCAUCACCUUAAAAAAAAUCUGUUAUCAUUAGACGUCAAACUAGUAAUUAUUUUUUUGUAAAUAAGUCUAUCAAUACACGACAUAUUAGUCUCCCAGUAGUAAUGAUGAUCUUAAUGUACCUUAUCAACCAUAUAAAAGGGUAUUUUUGAUAAUAGAUAGAAAAUAGAGGUAUUUUUUAAAAAGGGAUAGACCAAAAGGGACAUUUCUCAAAAAUUCUCUUAUUUUGGGGCGAAAAAAUCUGAAACAACUAAGAAAAAUAAAUCUACCAGAUAUUUUAACAAAUCUGUCAUACAUUACAAAAAUCUGUCUUGUUUUCAUAUAAAAGUCUGCCGUAAAAAAUAAAUCUGUUACUCAUAUUAAAUAUGUCAUAACUAUUAUUAAAAAGUGUGCUGUACAAAAAACUGUCAUAUAAAAUCUGUCAUUCUAGAAUAAAUCUAUCGUACACAAAUAAAUCAGUCACAACAUGUACGACAGACUUUAUAAAAAAUAUUCAAGAUUUUGGAAAAAUCAUAAGUUUUUUUUUUCAAUGGUAAAGUUGACUUUUAUUUUUUCCUUAUCAAAAUAAAAAAAGAUAUUUUUUUCAUGAAAAGUACUAAUCUAACCGAAACAUUUUAUAAGUUAGUUUAAUAAUUAAUCUCUUUAUUUGGGUCAAUCUAGUUUUUUCCCAUUGAAUAAUACAUAAUUCCAAAAUACAUUCAAUUCCUUUUAAAAAAAGAACAAAUCCAAUAACACCCCUUAUUCUUUUGUUUUUUUUUAAUAAACUAGCUAAAUCAAUUUACUUGAGAAAUAGGAGUAGGGUUUGGUUUUAUGAUUAUUCUUAUUUAAGGAGCCGUGAAAUAUUUUGUAGAGUAGUUUUGAUUAUUGAAUAAAAGAGUUUAUUAUCAAAAGCCAUAGAGAGGAGGACUCUCAACCCUAAAGAGAUUUUUGUGCUAAGUUCUUUUGAAGCUUUUAUAUUUUCGUCAGUUAUAUAGGUUCCGCUCUCCAUCAAUUGGUAUCAGAUUAAUGACGUUCCUAGUGGUUUGAUUUCCCUUUGACGUUGUCUCCGACAUACAUAUGAUGGGAGAAAAAUUAUCAGGUCGAUCGAUAUUGGCUUCGCAGGAAUCCUGAAAUCACAUCUCCUCACCUGAGAGAUCGAUUCAAGCACCACAUGCUCCAAACUCGAACCCUAAACCACCAAUAGACCUCAAAUAACAUCAACAACACACAAAAAAGCCAAAACACAACAAUUCUAGCUACACAAAUCAAUCAAACACACAUAAAUGGUUUUAUACGCCCAAAUUAACCAUGGCCAUGCACUCACCUUGAUGUGGAUUGAAAGGAUGGACGAAAAUAGAUAAGAUGAGCACUCAUGUAACCUCACUUCACACCACAACCAUGAACUCAGCAAAUCCCUUAUUUGAACACCCAAGAAUAGCCACAAAAACGUCUAGGAAACCUCAUGAACAAGCCAACACAUAACUCUCCCUCUCUUUUGCUUUCAGAAACGUCCACAACCAAAAAGUGAGAAGAAAGUGGCUGCCAUCGAGUCUUAUGUGGAGGUUAGUGCUUUCCCUAAACCAAUUUUUAUUAAACCGACGAUUUAAAACUAAACCGCCAAAACCAAAAUUUUUUGGUAUCGAUCAACACCAAACACUGGUGUCGAUCGACACUACUAAAAUUUCAGACACGGAUGUUAGAUAUAUCAAAAGAUAGCUCUCAAAGAUAUAUUUAAGUGUCGUGAUGGGAGUGGCGACAAAAAAAAAAAAGUGUCUUCAUGGGAGCUGGAUGAAGCUCAACCAAGAAAUAUAGAAUUGGUCAAAGAGAAGAUGUUGAUUCAAAGCAAGAUGGAGCAUGUUGAGAAAAUGCUAGUUUUUGAAAAAGAAAAAUCAGAAAAUGCUAAAUAAGCUUGCUGCAACACGAAAAUGCUCUUGUGCUUUUAAAAUUGAGGAUCAUGAUUUUCAUAUCUGUUAAAUUGAAGGUUGUACUUAGGGCAGAAAAAGAAGCAUCCACACGGCUGGAUAAAGAACUCAUGGAAUACAAAAAACACUUUAGGAUCAGGGGCGGACCCACAUGAAUUAAGGUGGGGGCAGCUGCCACCAGCAAAAAAAAAAAACAUUAAAAAACUAUUAAAUAUUAUUAAAAAAAUAAAUCUGUCCCACCGAAAUUAAAGAACAAAACUUACUUUUUCUUCUUUUUCUGUCCCCACCGAAAUUAAAGAACAAAACUUACUUUUCCUUCUUUUUCUGUCCCCACCGAAAUUAAAGAACAAAAUCCCAAUAUCAACCCAUAUAGCAAACAAAAAUAUUAAUAUAUAAACUAAAACAACUAACUUAAUAAAUUAAAAACCUAGACCUAGUUUUUUGUUAUUUUUUUCUCCUAUUCAUUUCUUCUUUGUUUUUUUUGCUGUACACGACGAUUAACACGUACAAGUCAACAACUAUCAAUUGGUGAGUCUUUUUUUUGCUUUUUUUUUUACAAUUGUUUAUAUUAUCUAAGUAUUAUUUUUCAGCCAGUUUAGUUUAUUUAAUCAAUCAGGCCUACGGUUAUGUUUCCUGGAAAACAUUAUAUAGGUUUUUACGUUAUACAUGACUACAUUAGUUUUUGCAGUUAUGUGUUUAUUUUAUGGAGCUUUUAUAGAGAUUUGUUACAUAAUUCAAUAAAUAUAAAAUUAAUAAAUUUUAAAAUAUAAGUCUAUACAUUAUUUUUUUAUAGAAACUGUUUUAGUGUGAUGUGACAUUGUUACUGUAGGUUUUCUAAAAUUUUAACUAACAACAUGUUUUUGUUUUAUAGAUAAAUCGCCAAUAUGAAAAAAAUUUACAAACCAAUUCCUAAACCAACAUCACACCCCAAUGUCGAUGAUCAACCACUGGAUCCAGCUAACACCAAUGUUGAUGAUCAACCACUGGAUCCAGAUAACACCAAUGUCGAUGCUCUGCCAAGGGAUCCAGCUAAGAGGAAAGAGAUAGUGAUUUAUCAUCCGAAUCAAAGAGACGAGGUAAGCCGCAAAUAUCUUGUUAGAUGUCCAUGUCAACCUUCUGGUCAUUCUUUUAAAAGAACAAAGAUGAGUAAUUGAAAGAACCCAUCCCAUUUUUUUUUUUAUUGUUGCAUGCAAACCGGAUUAACCCAAUUAAUUCGAACCAGCUAAACCGACAUAAUAAUUUAAAUCAAUUAAACCAAGCAAUCUCAUUAAAGUAAACCAACAAUAUUAACCAGCAGAAGACUUAACCAAAAAUCCAAUAAAACAAUUCCAUUAAACCAACAAGUUCAACCAAACAUUAUUCCAAAACAUGAUCAUCCUAACAUGUUUCUAAAUUCCAUUCUAACACCCUAAUAAAUCCAACAAUAAUCUAAAACACCAAUGAGUGCCUAGAUCAUCCUCCUCUCCUCGCCAUGAUUCCACGGAUCACACUUUGCUUUUACCUGCAUCAAAGAAAGAGAUGCAUAAGUAUUUCAUAAAUACUUAGUGAGGCAAUCAUCCCACCACUGGCUAUACACACAAGCAGAAUGGACACAUUCAAGUAUAACUCAAACAACCACCAAUACAACGCAAAACAACACAAUAUGACCCGUUCUGACGAGCAGUGUCGAUCGACACCAUCCGCUGGUGUCGCUCGACACUCGCGACCAUCCUCGCGAGAAAGAAAGUUGGUGUCGAUCGACACCCUCCCUUGGUGUCGAGCGACACCGAAACCCUAACAUCGCUCCAGCCGCUUCUCAUCGACGAAUCCACCAACUCCAGGACUCCAGGCCUGAUCUAUCUCCUUCCCAGACUCGUACCAAGACACCAUAUCACAUUGACAAGCAUACAAACACAGAAAUCAAAUAUCAAUCAAAAGAAACACUCAAAUAUGCAUCAAAACUGCUUAGAUCAGCCUAGUCAUGCACUCACCUUUCAAAAGGACAGAACAAAAACGAACAGACCACAACAACAGCAACCAAGGACUCUCGUAACACCACAGCUACGAGAUCUCUCUUCCCAAGGACAGAAACACCAGGAACAAGGCUCAAAACACUUCUCAAACCUCACAAAACCUCUCUAGAGAACUUAGAAACCUUUUAAAAGAAUAAAAGCGGCCCCUCACAACAAAACACGACCUUCACUCUUUUAAACGUGACCUAGGGUUAAACCCUAACCAAAACCUCAAUUGAACCGACAAUUUAAAACUUAAACCGUCAAACCAAAAUUACUAGUGUCGAUCGACACCCGACCACAGUGUCGAUCGACACCACCCGGAUUUCCAGACACGGGCGUUACAAUUCUCCCCCACUAACUAGGAUUCGUCCCCGAAUCCUCCAACACAACCGUCAGUACACAACUGACCUCACCGAGGCCCCUAUCCAAUCAAUAUACUCACGUUCCAGACUCUAUUUGCUCAUACACACACACCUCCCCCGUCCAUAGGUCGCAACCCGUGGAUCAUACCGGCUCGUCCUCAGGCCUCAUCCUUAGACUACGGUAUCCAGGAAGCCUCACCACUUCCCCCGCUCUCAGGUCGCAACCCUCAAGUCAUACCGGCUCACUAUUAGGCCACCCGCCUUCUAGCUACGGUAUGCGGGAAGUCACACGCUCGCUCUCGGGUCGUCACCCUCAAGCGUGCACUCGAAUCGUCAUCCGAGGCCAUCACAUCAUAUCCGAGCAAAUAAGUCUAAACGCCCCCGAGCAUAUCUCUCGAUCAGAUAUACCUCCCGUGGUCCACUUAUAACAUCGCAAUGCUAUACUAACCACCACCCCGAGACUUUCCAAAAAUAGAACCGUCAAACCCGACACUUUCUAUUUUUAGAAACUCGCACAUAUUUCUCUUACACAUGACACAACAAGUCAAAUCCAAGAAAUACUCAUCUUAUUAAUCUCCAAAGUCAUAAUCAUUACACCAAAAUGAGAAUACAAAAGAGAUACAACUAAAACAAAACUCAAAAACCAAACAAGCCAACGGUCUACUCCUCGACCUGCUUGUCAAACCACUUCCGGAACCUUGCCUUCAUCCUGGCCACUGGCUCCCACGUCUCCUCCAAGACUCCAUCACAGUCCCACUGGACUCUCAUCAAAGGAAUCUUCUUACGUCGAAGUUCCUUUACCCGCCUCUCGAGAACCCUCACUGGCCUCGCCUCCAAGGUCAUGCUAGGCUGAAGAUCUGCCGAGAUCGUAGCCAACACCUCAUCAUCCUUGUGAAGACACUUCCUCAGCAUCGACACGUGGAAUACCUUAUGAAAUGCAUGCAUUACCUCAGGUAACUCCAACCGAUAAGCCACCGGUCCAACCCGCUCCACAAUUCUGAAAGGACCCAUAAACCUCGGACUCAGCUUAGUCUCGGUAAGGGACCUGUUAGGACCACGCAACAUCGCCAUCUUGAGAUACACCAUAUCUCCAACAUCAAACUCCAACUCCUUAUGCCUCUUAUCAGCAUAACACUUUUGUCGAUCCUGCGCCUCUCUCAUGUUCAGCUUCAGAACCCGAAUCUUCUCUGAAGUCUCCUGAACAAAAUCCGCACCAUAUAUGCUCCUCUCCCCCACUUGAGUCCAUCAUAGAGGUGUCCGACACGGCCUCCCAUACAACGCCUCAUAAGGAGCCAUCCAAAUACUCGCCUGGUAGCUAUUAUUAUAAGCAAACUCCACCAAGCCCACUGACCACCCCAGUCCAACACACACAUCCUCAACAGAUCCUCGAGUGUCUGAAUGGUCCGCUCAGACUGCCCGUCUGUCUGAGGGUGGUAAGCCGUGCUCAAAUGCACCUUAGUACCCAUCUCCUUCUGGAAAGCCUUCCAGAACGCCGAAGUGAACUUCGAAUCUCGGUAUGACACAAUACUGGCCGGUACUCCAUGAAGUCUCACAAUCUCCUGCACAUACUUCUUAGCUAGCACUGCCGCUCCAUCGGUUUUCUUGAUAGCCAAGAAAUGUGCAGACUUAGUCAAACGGUCCACAAUGACCCAAAUGGCAUCCUUGAACCGAGACACUGGCAACCCCACCACAAAAUCCAUCGUGAUCAUGUCCCAUUUCCACUCUGGAAUAGGGAGACUCUGCAAUAAUCCACUCGGCACCUGAUGCUCAGCCUUCACUAGCUGACAUACAUCGCACUCAGUGACCCAUUUAGCCACAUCCCUCUUCAUCCCGACCCAAUGAUAAUACCGCUUCAGAUCUCGGUACAUCUUGGUCGCUCCUGGAUGAAUAGAGAACCUACUCGCAUGAGCCUCACUCAAGAUCUCACGUCUCAACUCCUCAUCCUUGGGCAAACAAACUCGCCCAUGCACAAGGAUAGUCCCAUUGGCUGCAACCUGAUACUCUGACUCAGUAUCCUUAGAAGUAUUAACCAGCCCUGCAUCCUUCUCCUGAGCCGCUCGAACUCUGGUCAGAAGGUCUGCUCGGUUAGCUGCUUCUAACCCUAAUGGCUCCUGAGAAAUAGCACAUCACCGCAAGGUGCUAAGUUCUUCCACCAAGGUCUCCAUGUCCUGCCCUCGAGCUGAAGCCGCUCACUUCCUGCUCAGAGCAUCUGCAACCAGAUUAGCCUUACCAGGAUGGUAAGCUAUCUCCAGAUCAUAGUCUGCAACCAACUCCAUCCAGCGCCUCUGCCUCAAGUUCAACUCAGGCUGCGUGAAUAUAUACUUCAGACUCUUAUGAUCCGUAAACACCUGAACCUUCGCUCCAUACAGAUAAGAUCUCCAAAUCUUCAGAGCAAAGACCACCGCUGCCAUCUCUAAAUCAUGAGUAGGGUAGUUGCCCUCAUGCUUCCGCAACUGCCUCUUUUGUUCCACUCGGCACCAGAUGCUCAGCCUUCACUAGCUGACAUACAUCGCACUCAGAGACCCAUUUAGCCACAUCCCUCUUCAUCCCGACCCAAUGAUAAUACCGCUUCAGAUCUCGGUACAUCUUGGUCGCUCCUGGAUGAAUAGAGAACCUACUNNNNNNNNNNNNNNNNNNNNNNNNNNNNNNNNNNNNNNNNNNNNNNNNNNNNNNNNNNNNNNNNNNNNNNNNNNNNNNNNNNNNNNNNNNNNNNNNNNNNAAACACCUGAACCUUCGCUCCAUACAGAUAAGAUCUCCAAAUCUUCAGAGCAAAGACCACCGCUGCCAUCUCCAAAUCAUGAGUAGGGUAGUUGCCCUCAUGCUUCCGCAACUGCCGCGAACCAUAGGCGAUCACCUUACCCUGCUGCAUCAACACACAACCCAAACCAACUCCCGAAGCGUCCGUGUACACCACAUACGGCUCUCCCUGCUCCGGUAAAGCCAAAACCGGCGUACUCGUCAACAUCUCCUUGAGUUGAGUGAAACCCUGCUCACACUCAAGAGUCCACACAAAAGGAACAUCCUUCCCCGUCAGCUUGGUCAUUGGCUGAGCUGUACUGGCAAAGCCCUUCACAAACCGCCUGUAGUAACCUGCCAAUCCCAGAAAACUCCGUAUCUCUGUGGCAUUCUGCGGUCUAGGCCAAUCUCUGAUAGCCUCAAUCUUCUCUGGAUCCACAGAAACUCCCUCUGCAGACACGAUAUGACCCAGAAAACCCAUCUUUCUCUGCCAGAAACUACACUUGCUCAACUUAGCAUACAACUUCUGUUCCCGCAGCUUCUCCAACACUGCCCGCAAGUGUAUCUCGUGCUCCUCAAGACUCUUAGAAUACACCAGGAUAUCAUCAAUGAAGAUGAUCACAAACUCAUCCAGAAACGUCUGGAACACGCUGUUCAUCAGCCUCAUGAACGCCGCUGGCGCAUUAGUCAACCCGAAAGGCAUCACCACGAACUCAUAAUGCCCAUACCUCGUCCUGAACGCCGUUUUACGGAUAUCCGCCUCGUCGAUAGGAAUCUGAUGGUAACCCGACGCCAAAUCGAUCUUUGAGAACCACGUAGCUCCCUUCAAUUGGUCCAACAACUCAUCAAUCCGCGGCAAAGGAUACUUGUUCUUCACCGUGACUUGGUUAAGUCCCCGAUAAUCGAUACACAGCCAGAAACUCCCAUCCUUCUUCUUAACGAACAACACCGGUGCCCCCCACGGUGAAACACUAGGACGGAUGAAACCCUUACCCAGCAGAUCCUCCAACUGUUUCUUCAGCUCCGCCAUCUCCGCUGGACCCAUCCGGUACGGAGCCUUAGACAACGGUGUUGUCCCGGGCUCUAACUCAAUCGUGCAGGGAUCAGACCGAGAUGGUGGUAACCCCUUUAACGACUGAAACACAUCCUCGAACUCCUGAACCACCCGGAUCUUAUCCACUGCUACCUCAUCGACCGUCUCUGGCAUGACAAUCGUAGCCAAAUAAGCUUCCCGUCCCUUUCGGAUCAUCUUAUCCGCCUGAAUCGCCGAAAUCACUAAACUCCCCGCAAUCGGUCUCACACCCUGGAAAUACAUCUUCGGUCCGGGACGCUCGAAGUAUACUCUCCCCCGGUGACAAUCCAGAUGAACUCUGUGCCGCUCCAACCAAUCCAUGCCCAGAAUUACAUCAUACAACUCCACCGGACUAAUGUACAGAUCUGCCGGCAUCGACUCUCCCGCAAUCUGUACAUCCACACCACUAGCCCGCCCCUGAACCGCUAGCAAAGCUCCUCCUGCGACUCUUAACGGCUCCGUAACAACCAUCGGGAUCUCCUCGGAUGUUACCACCCAUCGCGCACUCUGGGGUAAUGAAGCUAUUCGUAGCUCCAGAAUCAAACAUCACGUGGGACAAGAAUCCGCCCACCAACAGGGUCCCUACACAAAACCCUUUUCACUAAGACCGCCCACCCCAAAAUCACAGGAAAACAACACAAAUUCUAAAACAACGGAAGGAAACAGAAUGAGUCUUAGAGUUAAACCUGUGAUCGGCCGUCCAGUGCUUGGCUCUCCUGUCUCCACGGUCGUAUACCCCCUCGAUCCCUCGAUCUGUGCCACCGGCGGUGCUCCCAGCUGAGCCAACGACUGCCCUGCCAACUGCAAUCCUGGCUGCACCCACUGCUGCACCACUAGCUGCAUCACCGGCUGCACCGCUGCUACCGCCAUCUACUGCAACUUAGGACACCUCGUCUUGAUGUGCCCCGUCUCUCUGCAGUGGUAACAGACACGUGUAUCCACCCAUGGCUCGCCCUUCUUCGGGCAGCUUGCCACCCUGUGAUCCGUGCUCCCACACCUGAAGCACCUCCGAUCACCCUGACUCACCCUGGAAGUGUCAUCCCACUUCCUCUUCUGUCCCUGAGCAGGUUUGCCACCUCUGCUCGGAACCGACUGUGGCUGGGUCUUCUUUGGCUGCGCCGACGGACUAGGAAUCACCCCGUGGCUCCUCAACUCGUCCUCGAUCCCUGCCGCCACCUCAACCAGCUCCACACGCGAUGCAUAGGCCCGCACCUUGCACUGCACCCUCAUGUCGGGGCUGAGACCCUUCAUGAACCGACGCACCUGCAUCUGCUCAGGAUCUCCCGCACGUCCCGAGUACACCAAGAGUCGGCUGAACUCCGAGUCGUACUCCCGCACCGACCGCUCGCCCUGAGUCAACGCAAGGAACUGCGACUCCAUCCGGUCCAGUGCCUCCGCCGGAAAAUACUUGGCAUUAAACUCUGCUAAGAAAUCUCCCCACACCGCCAAUCCCUGCCCCCUCUUGGCUAGCACACUCCGCCACCACAAAUGUGCAUCACCCGCCAAGUAGUGGGCCGCUAGGUCCACCCGAUACGCCUCUGGGCACCUCAUCGACUGGAAAUACCUCUCCAAUCGCACCCGCCACUCAUCCGCUACAGCCGGGUCGGAACCUCCGAAGAACAAGGACAUCCCGAACCGCUGCAGCUGCUCCAACAUCCGCAGGUAGUACGGCUGCUCGACCACCUCAGGCGGUACAACCCCAACAACAGGCUGCACACCCGGCAUAACAGGCUGCACACCAGGCCCAAGAGGAGCCUGCACCUCAGGCCCAACAGGAGCCUGCACCGGCGGUACCGCACCCGGUAACCGCUCCAAGAGCUGCGUCAGUAAAUCCGCAAGCCGAUCAUUCUGACCCUGGGCUUCACCUGUUGGAACACCCCCAACCGGGUUCCCAACAACACUAGUACCGUUCCCGGACGAACCGGCUCCCACGGCACUCACACUCCCACCACCCACGGGCCCGUCCUGAUGCGACUGGGACUCACUAACAAAAUCGGCCGUAGCACUUCGGCCCACACUCGUGUCGCUAUCCGAGGCAACACCACGCCCCCCACCGCGACCACGCCCACGACCACGACCACGACCACGACCGACAGCUCCACCUCUAACCAUCUGCAACACAACAGAAGGCUAAGAACACCAAACAAAUCACCAAACAACACACUUACCGUGGAAUCGCAUUGAAGGCUCGAGAGGAUGAUCUAGGUCUCCAUGCUCACACAAUUGAUUAAACACACAAUCAAUCAACAUGCAAUCCACAUCAUCAUUCCUCAUCAAUGAAAUUCACACAUCACNNNNNNNNNNNNNNNNNNNNNNNNNNNNNNNNNNNNNNNNNNNNNNNNNNNNNNNNNNNNNNNNNNNNNNNNNNNNNNNNNNNNNNNNNNNNNNNNNNNNACCAGCGGAAGACUUAACCACACCUCCGGUAGCUAGCUACAUUAAACCAACAAGUUCAACCAAACAUUAUUCCAAAACAUGAUCAUCCUAACAUGUUUCUAAAUUCCAUUCUAACACCCUAAUAAAUCCAACAAUAAUCUAAAACACCAAUGAGUACCUAGAUCAUCCUCCUCUCCUCGCCAUGAUUCCACGGAUGUCACUUUGCUUUUACCUGCAUCAAAGAAAGAGAUGCAUAAGUAUUUCAUAAAUAUUUAGUGAUGCAAUCAUCCCACCACUGGCUAUACACACAAGCAGAAUGGACACAUUCAAGUAUAACUCAAACAACCACCAAUACAACGCAAAACAACACAACAUGACCCAUUCUGACGAGCAGUGUCGAUCGACACCAUCCGCUGGUGUCGCUCGACACUCGCGACCAUCCUCGCGAGAAAGAAAGUUGGUGUCGAUCGACACCCUCCCUUGGUGUCGAGCGACAGCGAAACCCUAACAUCGCUCCAGCCGCUUCUCAUCGACAAAUCCACCAACUCCAGGACUCUAGGCCUGAUCUAUCUCCUUCCCAGACUCGUACCAAGACACCAUAUCACAUAGACAAGCAUACAAACACAGAAAUCAAAUAUCAAUCAGAAGAAACACUCAAAUAUGCAUCAAAACUGCUUAGAUCAGCCUAGUCAUGCACUCACCUUUCAAAAGGACAGAACAAGAACGAACAGACCACAACAACAGCAACCAAGGACUCUCCUAACACCACAGCUACGAGAUCUCUCUUCCCAAGGACAGAAACACCAGGAACAAGCCUCAAAACACUUCCAAAACCUCACAAAACCUCUCUAGAGAACUUAGAAACCUUUUAAAAGAAUAAAAGCGCCCCCUCACAACAAAACACGACCUUCACUCUUUUAAACGUGACCUAGGGUUAAACCCUAACCAAAACCUCAAUUGAACCGACAAUUUAAAACUUAAACCGUCAAACCAAAAUUACUAGUGUCGAUCGACACCCGACCACAGUGUCGAUGGACACCACCCGGAUUUCCAGACACGGGCGUUACAGUAAUGCAACAAGACGAUUUAACCUAGCUUGGUUUGAAAAAUACGAUACUUGGCUAGAGUAUAGUGUAUCAACAGACAGAGCUUUUUGUUUGUGUUGCUACUUAUUUAAAGGUGACGGAUGGAAGCAAGGUGAGAGUGAUGCAUUUGUGAAAGAAGGGUUUUGUCUCUGGAAUAAACCUGAAAGGUUAGAAACUCACAUAGGCGGAACCAGCAGUUUUCACAAUUGUGUUGUAGAGAAGUGUGAUAACUUAAUGAAGCAAGCCCAGUCUAUCAAACAUGCUUUGUUUAAGCAUAACGAUGUGGUGAAGAAUGAGUACCGCAUUCGUUUAACUGCUUCAAUUGAUGCUUCCAAAUAUUUGUUGCGACAAGGAUUGUCUUUCCGUGGUCACGAUGAGUCAGAAGAAUCUGCCAAUAGAGGAAAUUUCUUGGAACUAGUGAAAUACAUAGGAGAACAGAAUGAUGCUAUAAGUAAGGUUAUUUUGAAUAAUGCUCCGAAAAAUAACCAGAUGAUUGCUCCUAAGAUUCAGAAAUAGAUUGUGAAUUGUUUUGCAGAAGAAGUAGUGAAAUCGGUUAUUCAAGAAAUUGAUCAUGGCGUCUUUGGUCUGUUAGUUGAUGAGUCUGCUGAUAUAUCUCACAAAGAACAAAUGGCGGUUGUAUUUCGAUUUGUUGAUAAGAGCGUAGAAGUGAAAGAAAGGUUUAUUGGAGUUGUUCAUGUUAAAGAAACUUCAUCUGCAUCUUUGAAAUAUGCUAUUGAUAAUUUAUUUGCUAAGUACGGGUUGAGUUUGAAAAAGCUAAGAGGACAAGGUUAUGAUGGGGCAAGCAAUAUGAAAGGUGAAUUUAAUGGCUUGAGAGCAUUGUUUUCUCAGAGAAAACAAUGCAGCGUAUUAUGUUCAUUGUUUUGCUCAUCAACUUCAGUUGGUGGUGGUGGCAAUCGCAAAAAAACACUUUGAGGUUGGUGAUUUUUUUGAUAUGAUUUCUACAUUGGUGAAUGUGGUUGGAGCUUCUUGUAAAAGACAAGACAUGAUUCGAGAAACUUAUCAAAAAGGUGCAGGAAGGAAUUAGUAGUGGUGAGAUUAACACGGGUACUGGAUUAAAUCAAGAAAUUUCACUAUAAAGACCUGGAAAUACUCGUUGGGGUUCUCAUCAGAGAACAUUGUUAGUUGAUUUGUUUUCUUCUAUCAUUGAAGCUUUUGAGUAUAUCCAAAAUGAAGGCGUCGAAGACUCUAAAAAACGUCAAGCAUAUGGUCUUCUCAACUACUUUCACACUUUUGAUUGUGUGUUCUAUAUGCAACUUAUGCUACUUAUUUUGGGAUUAACUGAGAAUUUGUCAAUGGCUUUGCAAAGGAAAGACCAAGAUAUUUUGAAUGCCAUGUCAUUGGUGGAAUCUACUAAGAGAGAAUUGCAGAAGCUUAGAGAUGAUGGAUGGGAUUCACUUAUGAAUAAAGUUUCAUCUUUUUGUGAGAAACAUAAUGCUGAACCGCUUGUCAUGGAAGACAUCUUUGUAGAUCCAAGGAAACCAAGAAGAAAAACCAAUAUAACCAACCUACAUCAUUAUAAGGCUAACUGCUUCUACACUAUUAUAGAUUUACAGCUUCAGGAGUUCAAUGAUCGUUUUACAGAGGUAAACACUGAUCUACUUAUUUGUAUGGCUUCUUUAAGUCCUCUUGAUUCAUUUCAAGAAUUUAACAGAGAAAAAUUGGUGAGGUUGGCUAAGUUUUAUCCAGAUGACUUCAACUAUGGGGAGGUUUUGUCUCUUGAGCAGCAUCUUGAUAUCUACAUUGACAAUGUGAGUAGAGAUUAACGAUUUAAGAGUCUGAAAAGUCUUGGAGAGCUUUCCCGUUUGAUGGUGAAAACCCAAAAACAUCUUGCACAUCCCUUGGUUUAUAGGCUUUUGAAAUUAGUUUUAACUUUACCAGUUGCUACAGCAAGUGUUGAGAGAUGUUUUUCUGCAAUGAAAUUGGUGAAGACAUCUGCACGGAAUAGAAUUGGAGACCAAUUUCUACGUGAUUGUCUUGUUUGCUAUAUUGAAAAUGAACUAUUUGAAGCGGUCACAAAUGAAAAUGAGAUAAAAAUGUUUCAAUUGUUAAAUGAGCGUCGGGUGGUUUUGUAAGAUGUUUAAAAAAAAAUAUAUGACAAUUUUAUGUUUUUUAAUAAUUUAGUAUUUGUUGGUUUUUAUUAUAUUUUUGCCCCCAUUAAAUAAAUUUUCUAGAUCUGCCCCUGUUGAGGAUGUUGACCAGUGGUACAAAUAAUCUAGAUCAAAUAUUGAGUAUGGGAAGGACAGAGAAAACAAAAUUUGGUUUUGGUUAUCAAGGUGGUGCAUAUGGUUCUAAGAUAGUUUUUGUUCAAGAAAAAAUUUUGUCUGUUAAAACGAGGGAGCAUAUGUUGGAUGUAACUCCAAAAGUUUUAGUCUUGGAUUGAACAGAGGUCCAUCUAGAGAGAGGUCAAUCCAGACAGAGGUCUAUCUAGACAAAAAGUUUUAAUUUUAGUCUUGAAUUUUAAGUGACCAAUCCAAAAUUGAUACAGUGAAAUGUAGAGUUUGAUUGAGAUAGAAAAUAAAAGAGUUUGAUCUUUACAUUUAUUUAGUUACUGACUGGUUUAAACGUUGCGGUUGCGGCUGCGAGAGUUUGCAUAGAAAAAGGAAAAAAGAGAGAGAUAGAGAGAUAGUAAGAAUCAAUUAUGAAAAAAUCAUUUUUCUUAGUGAAACUAGGUAAUGUCCCGCGCAUAUGCGCGGGUUGUUGUAUAUUUAUUUAAUUAUUUUAAUUUAUUUAUUACUUAUAAAAAAUAGAUUAAAUAAAUUUUAAUGCUUAUGAAAUUUUUACAUGUUAUUUAUUUAAAUCAUACAAUAGAAGCAUACAUCCAUAUCUUUUGAAUUUAUUUGUUGAUUAAUUGUUCAAUUAAUCAAUUUUGAUAGUAAUUUUCUUUAGUACUUUUAAGUAUUUUUUGAUAAAACAAUAAUAUUGUUAAUGAUAAAAAUAGGAAUGAUAUUGGGAGAAUUUAAAAAAUACCCCUUUAAAAAUACCACUUUUUAAUUUUAUUCCCUUUUCAAACUUUAUCAAAACAACCACUAAAAAUGUUGAAAUUUAUCCAAAUAUGUGUGUAAACUUAUAAAUAUACACAAAAAUUACCUUUAUUUGUGUAUAAAAUUUUAUUUAUUUCAAUGUCUUACAAAUUGGUUUAAAUAUAACAAAAAUAUAUUUUGUUAAAAUAAUUACAUUCUUUGAAAAUAAAAUAAAUAUACAUGAAUAUGUGAGAAAGAAAAAAACAUAUAAAGUAAAACAGUGAAAAUGGUUUAUUUAGCUUGAUUUUCUUAUGGUGCGAUGGUCAGAAAUCAAUAUUUUUGAAUCCCAUCGAUAAAGUAAUUUCCUUAUACCCAUAAAAUAUUAUUAUGCAUAUGUAUUAUACAUUUAAUAGUAUAAAAAACAAUGAAAAAUGAAGAAGUACAUAAAAUAAAGAAGAAAUACAAUUGAAAACAAAAGUUUUAACCAAAUAUAUAAUCAAGCUCUUACAAUGAUAUCUUAAUUAAGAUUUCAACCCAUGCAAGAACAUUAAAAAUUAAACAAAGAAAUAUUGAGAAUAUCAGAUAUGGUGGAGGAGGAUGUAAAAAUGAGUAUUUAUAGGAUAAAAUAUGAUGUAAGUUACAAUUUUAAAAUAAUUAAAUCAGAUGAGUUAUAAUUAUAUUUUAUAGUGUAUUAAUUGAAUUUAAAUGGAGGAAACAAAUAGUCAAUUGAAAGGUUAUAUAAUUUAAGUUACAAUUUAAUAGUAAAGCGUGGAUUUCAAGUAUGAAUUAAAGUAUAUGACUAAAUGUAUUAGAUAUUUGGUUUAAUUAAAAAUAAAUAUUAUAGUUAAAAAAUAAAUGCUAAAUGGACCAAUAAGCAGAAACCUUAAAAAUUCCCAAAGAAUAAUUUUAUUUUUUAAUUUGUUUUUAUAUUCCUCUUAAUUAAGCUAUAUCUCUAGGUUUAAUUAUAUUUUUCAUCGUUGUAGUAUAUAUAAUAGAUAGAAAAUUGAAUAUCCAAUUGUUUUUUAUAUAGGAAAUCAAGUAUAAAAUUCAAAGUUAACAAAAAUUAUAAUGUUGUUUAUAUUAUUACAUGUUGAAUCACAAACUAAAUAUAAGGAUCAUUAUUCUUAAAAGAAUGUCUUACAAAUUGGUUUAAUAAUUAUAUAACAAAAAGUUUAUUUUGUUAAAAAAUUACAUACUUUUGAAAUUAAAAUAAAUAUACAUGAAUAUGUGAGAAAGAAACAAACAUCCAAUGUAAAAUAAUGAAGAUGGUUUCUUUAGCUUGAUUUUCUUAUAACCAUAAAAUAUUAUUAUACAUAUGUAUUACAUUUAAAAAUAUAAAAAACAAUGAAGACAUAAAGAAAUACAUAAAAACAAAAAAUAAAUAAAAUUGAAAACAAAAGUUUAAACUAAAUAAUUAAUCAAACUCUUACAAUGAUAUUUUAAAUGAGUUUUCACCCUAUGCAAGAACUUUAAAAAAAAACAAAGAGAAUAAUGAAGAUAUGAGAUAUGGUAGAGAAGGAUGUGAGAAUAGCUAUUUAUAUGAUAAGAAGUGAUGUAAGUUACAUUUUUAAAAUAAUUAAAUUAGAGGAGUUAUAAUUAUAAUUUAUAGUGUGUUUAAUUAGAAUUCAAUAAAGAAAACCAAUAGUCUUUGAAAAUUUAUAUAAUAUUCAGUUUCAUUUUAGUAGUAAAGUGUGAAUUUAAAGUAUUAAUUAAUGUAUGUGAUUAAAUAUGUUUUUUGGUUUAAUUAAAAAGAAAUAUUAUAUUUUUAAAAAAUAAAUACAAAAUGGAACAAUAAAGAGAGUGAAAUCUUACUUUUUUUUUUAUCAACCACACAUUUAUUAAAAUUGAACUCCAUGAUUGGUAGCCCAAACUGGAGGAAAGUUGUUUACAAAAGUAACUUAUGAAUCAAGAGAUCUGGAAGAACGAGCGAGACAAUCUGCUUUUGAAUUACAAGUACGAGAAAUCUUAGUUAAAGAGAACGACGGAAAUGAUGCACGUAACAGUAGAAAAUCGUCUAAGAGGUUGGAGAAUGCUGGCCACUCUUGUGGGUCUUGUACCAUUGCAAUAAGCUCGGCACAAUCUGAUUCAAAAGUAUGACAGUCAAUCCUUCUUAUAAGAAUAUUCUCCAUAGCCCAUAAUAACGCUUCCAAUUCUGAAUGGAGAGGUGAGGGACACCCUCUAAGACAUUUAGCACCUAGUAUAUAUGUUUUCUCCUCUCCUCUGAAACACCACCACCCCAGGCCUGAAAACAUAUUCCCCGACUUCCACGAACCAUCAAUACGACAACGAACAAUUAGCGAAGGGGGAGAUACAGGUUCUAUUGGUUCAGUUACAUCAGUCAAACUAAUUUGGGCUUCUUCCCAUGAUAAUUGUUCACUUAAAGCUUGAUUUAUAAUAUCGACUGGUUCAGACUGAAUUCCUUGGAACACCUUUUUAUUUCUAUCCUUCCAUAUAAACCAUAAAAUCUAUGGAAAAAAUGCUUUUUCUCCUUCUCCCUUAACCAAGGAAUCACACUCCAAAAAAUGAAGUCUAGAUUUGCGAAUCUCGAGCUAUAAGGAAAACCUCCUGGGAGCAUAGGAAUUGUAGACAAUUCCCAAAUUCGUCUCGAAUGCGCACAUUCAAAAAGCGCAUGAUUAAUUGUCUCGAUUUCAACGCAACAUUUUUUACAUACCGUGUCACAUUGAAUCUUGCGAGAAGCUAAGGCGUCCAUGACCGGAAGUGUACCCGUGGCAAUUUGCCAAAUAAAAUGCUUGAUUUUUGGUGGAGUGCGAAUAUGCCAUGCAUACGCUUUUAGAGCAGUAUAGCUUGGAUUCUCUUCCGCCUCUCCUAUCAAAUUAUGUGCUAGCCAGUACCCAGAUUUGACCGUAUAUUUUCCGGAUUUUGUAUAAUGCCAGAUCAACCUAUCCGGCUUAUAGGUUUUACUUAUAGACAUACUUCUAAUGAUACGAAUAUCCUCCGGAUGCAUAAAUUCAUUAAGAAUGGGUAAAUGCCACUUCUUGGUAAUUGGAUUAACUAAGUGAUUAACCUUUAGAUUUGGAUGCAGUAAAAUUCCUCGUCCAGAAGCUGGUCGUGGAUUAAUAUCAGGUAUCCAACGAUCUUUCCACACCGAGAUGUCAAAUCCUGAACCGAUAGACCAACGUGCCCCCUUUUCUACCAAACUCUUGGUCGAUAAAAUACUUCUCCAUCCAAAAGAUGGAGAAUAUGGUUUCUUUGCCAUUUAGGGAUGUUUAUUCCUAAAGUACCUCCCUUGCAACACCCGUGCAACCAGAGAAUCCGGAUAAAGUAUUAACCACCAAUACUGUUUUGCUAACAUUGCAUCAUUAAAUUUAUCCAAGUCACGAAAACCCAAACCACCUUGAAAUUUUGGCUUACACAUUUUAUCCCAUGCUAUCCAAUGUAAACCUCGAUCUCUACCAUUAGAACUCCACCAAAACUUUGAGAUGGCACUCGUUAAUUUUGUUGUUAAAACUUGAGGGAGUUUAAAGCAAGACAUGACAUAAGUAGGUAGAGCCAACGCCACAGAUUUAAUCAGCGUCUCUUUUCCUCCUUUCGAUAAAAACUUAGCUGACCAACCAUUCACCCGAUCAUUAAGUUUUUCUCGAACAUAAUUAAAAAUUUUACUUUUUGAGCCACCUAAGCUUUCAGGGAUUCCCAACUAGGAACUCAUACCCCCUUCCUUAUCUAUACCAAUUACGGUUUUUAACCUAUCUUUGAUUUGUGAUGAUACUUUUUUCCCAAACAGAACAGAUGAUUUAUUAAGAUUUACUUCCGGCCCUGAAGCUUUUCCAUAGCUCCUAAUUAUUUCCAUAAAUUUUUUACAUUGAUCUUCUUCCGCUUUACAAAAGAACAAACUAUCGUCAGCGAAAAGUAAAUGAGAGAUAGUCGGACACUCUCGUGCUAACUUUAUGCCUGUCAACUUAUUCUCUGUUUCUGCCUUUUUAAUAUUAGCGAUCAGAACCUCUGUACACAGAAUGAACAAAUAAGGUGAUAAUGGAUCUCCCUGUCUUAAACCUCGUUGAGCAGUAAUUCUUCCUCGGGGUUGGCCAUUUAAUAAAACUUGAUAUGAAACUGAUCGCACACUCCACAUAAUCCACGAAACCCAUCUUGCAUCAAAACCUAUCUGGAUCAAAACUGCCUCUAGAAAAUCCCAUUCCACUCUAUCAUAUGCCUUGCUCAUAUCUGUCUUAAUAGCCAGGAAAUCUGAUUUACAUGAUGCAUUAGUUUUUAACCCAUGAAACAUUUCCUGCGCGAUUAAAAUAUUAUCAGUAAUUACUCUACCCGAAACAAAGGCCGAUUGUGUUUCCGAAAUUAGCCUAGGUAAAACUUUCUUUAGCCUUAGACAAAGAAUCUUAGAAAUAAUCUUGUAACUCACAUUACAAAGGCUUAUUGGCCUAAAUUCUGCCAUCCGUUUUGGUUUAUCUACCUUGGGAAUCAAAUAAAUAUUUGUUUCAUUCAGCCUUCUAUCAAACUGUCCUGUACGGAAGAAAUCUUUAACCAGAGCAACCAAAUCCCCUUUUAAAGAAUGCCAAAAUCUUUGAUAGAACAAAGCCGUCAUCCCAUCUGGUCCUGGAGUUUUUUCUGGAUGCAUAGAAAAUAAAGCUUUCCUAAUCUCACCCUUUGUGAUCUCCUUGGUUAAAUCUCUAUUAAUACUCUCUGUAAUGAGAGGAUUUACCUCUUGUACCAUUUCUGAAAUGCCACUCAUAUUAGAUUUUUUAAAAAGGUCCAUGAAAUAAUCAAUGGCAAUAUUUUCCAUACCAGAAUUUGUUUCCACCCAUGAGUCAUCUGGACCAAAUAAUCCUAAGAUCCUAUUCCGUGCCCUUCUUUGCUUUGUGGAUGCAUGAAAGAAUUUAGUAUUUUUAUCCCCUACUUUUAACCAAAAUUUUCUACUUUUUUGUUGCCAGUAUAACGCCUCAUCACGAUACGCCUCCUUUAAUUUAUUCUCAACAUUUCUAAUUUCUACCUGAGGAAUUGAGUCAUCGUUUUUUGCCUCCUCUAGAGCCGACUUCAAAGAGGAUAUUAAUGCCUCACCAUUGGGGAUAUUAUUUUUUCUCCACCAUGAGAUAGAAUUUCUGCAAUUUUUUAUCUUAUCCACAAACACCGGGAUUCUAAAAUUUUUUGUUCGAUUCCACCCCGAUUCAACUGCCCCUGAGAGACCAUCUUUGCCAAUCCAUCUCUUAUCAAACCGAAACUGUCGUCUAGGAAUUUCUAAAUUUUUUUCACAAUUGAUUAGAAUGGGUCUAUGAUCCGAACCAAUCAUAGCCAGAUACUCUACCUUGGAAUAAGGAAAAAGACUAUGACAAUCUUCAUUUCCUAAAGCCCGAUCAAGCCUACAUCUUACCACUUGAUUAUUUCUUCUAUAUCCUUUCCAAGAUAAUUGAUACCAUAACACGGAAACUCUAACAUCCCACAAUCUCGGAUCAUUGAAUUAAAUAAAACAAACGAAGAUGCAGGCCUCAAAUUUCCCCCUAAUUUUUCAUGAUUUCCAGUGAGCUCAUUAAAAUCACCGACCAUGAGCCAUGGAGCAUUUCUGUUAGAUCCUAGUUGUAUUAAUUUAUCCCACACCGAACCCCGAAGAGAAACAACAGGAUCUCCAUAAACAAACGUCAUAAACACAAUUUGUUGUCCCAAAAGAGCUUUAACAUCAAUAAUCCGAUUACUCUCAUAAAGAACCUCCAAUUUUAUUUCCUCAUUAUAAAAUAAAGCUAAACCGCCGCUAUAACCACGUGGUUCAACUGUAUACAAUUUAUUGUAACCCAAACAAACUUGAAAUUUUUGUAAAUAAGAAAAACAUUUUUUUGUCUCCGACAAAAAUAGAAGGUCCGGUUUAUUCUUCUUCCACACAUCCUUUAAAUAGUUCUCCGUCAGGUCAGCCCCUAUACCCUGACAGUUCCAGCUUAUGACUUUCACGUUUGAGCCGGUGGUUUCGGGAGCGCCACCGUCCCUUUCUUCGACACACGACUCUCUCCACCCGAGAUGAUUCCUUCCUUAACUUUGUGGUGUUGUCUGCCUACAACCUUUUGCUUAAUACCAUCACCUACAUUUUUAGAAAGUAAAGCCUUAGCUAACAAACGUUUUCCUGGAGAUGCCAUAAGUAAAGCAUUUCUCUUAUUUGCCUUAGCACCUUUACUGCCAUGAGGACCAAAGGUUUUCUGUAACAAUACAGUUUUACUACCCAAGUCAACCUCUUUCAAAGCCUUACUAACUUUACCCAUUUCAAUACAAAAAGAAUCAGAGCUACAAGACAUACCUUUUCCAUUAGUAUUAUCCUCCACAUAAACAUGAGUCUCGUUAGUUGAAUCUUCUUCUUCAACCAUUACUUGAUCCUCUUCCUGGUAUUCUCCGUCCUCUAAUAAGUCAUCCUUACUCUCUAUAAAUUCGAGACCAGCUGAUAACUCCUUACUCUCCGUUUCCGGUUCAACUUCUGAUCCGAGAUCAUCCUGAAUUUUGCCCACCACAAGAGCCUCUGUAGUGUAAGUUGCAUUGAUAACAGAAUUAUCCACAUUAGGUACCUGCUUAACUUGAUACAAUGGUUUUGGCCAGAGCGGUCCUGGACCUCUUCUGCCCACCUGGGAGCUAUGAGCUUGAAAUUGUGACCCCUCACCAACAUUCCCAGCUGCACCACUCCUAAACUCCCCACUGGAUUCAGCCCAGUUCCCAGGAAAACUCCUCUUAUUACCCCAGGCUGCAGCAUGUUUAUUGAAACGUCGAUAAUUAUGCUUUCCAGCAUUCCUCUCUUCCACGUGAUACUGAAAACUCCCAUUGUUAUCCUCACUGUGAAAAUCCAAAGCUCUCUUUGCGGUCACCUUCCUUGGUUUUUCCCACCCUCCCUCAUGCUUUUGUGCAUUUUGUUUAGCCAACAGUUGUUGUCUAGGAGGCCCUCUCCUGUCAGCUUGGUCGUCAAUCACUCUAUUCCCAGAAACCCUUCUUAACUCUGGACAAGCACCAGCCUCAUGAGUUAACCUAAAGCAAUGUUCACAGAACCCAAUAAGCUUCUCAUACUCCAAAGAAACCACUACUUCAUCACCUGUAUCAAAAGGAACCACCAAUUGAAACAUAAUGGGAUUAAAACCAUUAACAGUGACAUAGAUACUACCAGUAUCUUCAUCAAUCUCCCUAAUUAAACCCAGCUUCUUCCCAAUAGCUCGUAAUGUUGCUUCUUCCCACAGAUGAAUCGGGAUCCCAGAAGCUUUAACCCCAAAAUUAAUAGCUGAUGGGUAAGUACUUGAUAUGAUGGGCUCCCAACGAACCAAAGCUAUCAUCCACCCAUCAAAAUGAUAAGGCACGUUAUGCAAAACCCCCUCAAGCUCCUCCUCGGAGUCAAAAUUAAACUGAAAAGUCCCCUGUCCCAAAUCUGCUCCAACGACCUUAUCUUCCAACUUCCAGAUCUUAGGCAUAUUUGCCACCAGAGAAUCCAUCCUCUGAAUACUUGGGUUCAUCAACCUCCCAAUAAGGGUAAGGGAGAACUGUUGAAUCCGUUGUGACAGAGCCGAACCAGAGAUCUUCACCGUCUCGGUACGAACCAUCACUGCCUUUCCCUUAUUCAAAGCAACUGAGCCAUAAUACACCCCCAAAACCAAAACCGACACCCUUCUUGAAAGAUGAAGGAACAAAGCCAAAAGGACUGAAAAAUCAAGUAUUGUUUAGUAGAAAUGAAAGCAGAGAUGAGAGAGACCCUUGACUCUCGCCUCUGAAUAUAUACCCACGAAAAAGGAAUAAUCCCCCAUCCUUCUUUGGUUAAGCCACAUAAAGAACGAAUCCACAAAACUUCCCAUAAACGACCAACAAUUGCCUUUUGGAAUCUCUCUGUAUUGAUAAAAGAGAUGUGAUGUGUGAUUCUCAAUCGGCAAAUCGAAUCGUAAUAUCUCUUCAUAAUUCCUAAAGAUAUUACACUCCAGCCUAGAAAAUCCUUACAUUGAAACAAACGGACUUGAUCAAUGAUAAGUCUGUAUUUCAUUGCUUUUUGAGUAUGCAUUCAUCAUCUAUUCAGCAUCAUUCACUUGUUGAUUCGCAUCAUAUUGAUCCCUUUCUGCAUGUUUUACAUACUUAGGUAGGUUUUAUGCAUAUCAUGCAUAUCAUGCAUAUCUUGCAUACAUUGUGCAUAUUUGGAGUGUCUCAGGUACUUAGGAGACAUGCAGAGCGAAGCAGAGGAACAAGCGUUACUCGACAUGCACACGAUCGAGUGGGAGGAUCGAGUGAGAAGCAAGGAUGAAUUGCAGUUACAUCGACUAUCGAGUGAGCAGCAGACGUAUACGAUCGAGUAGCGGAUCGAGCAGAAGGGAAGCGAAGCAGAACCACCUGUCACUCGAUGCACUCACUCGAGUGACAUGAUCGAGCAAAGCAAAGAAGUAGCUGAUGGUUUUACAGGUCACUCGACACGAUCACUCGAAUGACACGAUCGAGCAAAGCAGAGAAGAUGGUCACUCGAGGUGCUCACUCGACCAACUUAGUCAAAACAACCUUUGAACCGCUUUUACGUUGUCGUUUUAUGUUUUAAGGUUUUCCCAAACAUUGUUAUAAAUAGGCUUCAUUUGGAUUGCCGAAGGGAGAGUUUGAUUUUUAUUAGGUUUUUGUUGUAGCCACAAAACGAUCCUGAGAAUUGUAAUUCAUAUUUCUUUUGAGUUAUUGAGAUUUUGCAACUAGUUCUGAAAUCAUUGUUGUUACUCUUCCUAUCAUCCUUAUUAUUAUGCAUGUUUUGAACGAUUCUUGUUUCAUGAUGUUUAACAUGAUUUCUGCGUCUGAGUAGUGUUAGGGUUCUUGAGGAUGGGAUAGAUUAGGUGGAGGAUGUUAGUUUGCUAGAGUGUUUAUGUUAGAUUCAUUUUGUUUCCCUUCUCGACUAGAGUUUUAUUAGCUAGUUUUUCUCUGAUCAAUUGGAAUUAGGUCACAGACAUUUCAUACCCGAAAGGUAUAUGAUGAAAUGUCUGAACCAACUAGUGCCAGAGAUUUACAUGCUUAGCCCAAGAGAUUGGUUGUCUAAGAUGUUUAUUGACAUUAAUGAGCUGUUUCUUUAUGCCUGUUUACUUCAUGUUUCAUCAAUGAGAAUUGAGAUUAGGAAGUGUUGUAAACUUGAUAGUUUCUGCCAAGAGAUUGGAUUGACUAGUAUUAGAAGUUCAUUGUCUAGGGAUUAGAAUGUUUGCAGUUUGAUAAACACUCGAAGUAGAUUAGCAUACUCCACCUACAUCAAUAACCUCAUCCUCGGGAUCUUCUAUCCAUUUGUGCUUUCUGUUUAAUUCUCUUGUUAUUUACUUGGUCUGCUUUGUUUUCUUGCCAGUAUCAAUAAUCAUUACGUUUUAGUUUACGCAUGGUAGUCUAUGUUUUACAGCUUUACAUUUAUUGCAUGUUUAACAUGUCCGCUUAGGAUCGCUGAAAACCAAAAGUCAUUUAUGCUUGCUUGACUUAAUCAUCUCUGAUAUAUCUUGAUUGCUAGCAUCACACCUGAUUGGAUUGAUACCUAUUGUACUGCAAUGACAUGAUAGUACUCUAGGGUAAUUGAUAGAAAAAUCCUAGUAUCAAUUUGGCGCCGCUGCCAUUUGGGUGUUUGUGUGUUACAUUUGAGAUUUCAGACUUGCUAAGAUCAAGUUUUUACUCAACAUUCACUACAGUUACUCACUCUGUUCCUUCUGUUUGUUUAUUAAUUCAGGUACAACUCUUGCUCAACUGCUCCUACUCGACUGACACACUCAACCGAUAAGAGGGAUAAGCUGAUUUGAGUUGUAUGCACACACGGUCGCAAGGCACAGAGAACUUGUUCCAGCCCUCCGACCGUAUUGAUCGCUUGGUACCUGCAUCACGACAGCAACGCAACAGAGUUACACCACCCCAAGUGGAGAUGGAAAACAUUCAACCACCACCCCACCCCCACCACGGGCACCUACACGGAUUGGAGCUGGUGAUGCUCCACGCAACCAUACCCAUCGUCAGGGUAUAGUGCCUCCAGCCGUGGCGAACAACAACUUUGAGAUCAAGAGUGGUCUGAUCUCCAUGGUCCAGCAGAAUAAAUUUCAUGGUCUGCCUAUGGAAGACCCCCUGGAUCACCUUGAUGAGUUUGAUCGUCUCUGUAGUCUCACCAAGAUCAAUGGGGUCAGUGAGGACGGUUUCAAGCUACGUCUCUUUCCAUUCUCUUUGGGUGACAAAGCUCAUCAAUGGGAGAAAACUCUUCCUCCAGGAUCUAUCACUUCCUGGGAUCAAUGCAAGCAGUCGUUUCUUGNNNNNNNNNNNNNNNNNNNNNNNNNNNNNNNNNNNNNNNNNNNNNNNNNNNNNNNNNNNNNNNNNNNNNNNNNNNNNNNNNNNNNNNNNNNNNNNNNNNNUCAAAAGUUAUCAGUCUCAGUGCCCCCAUCAUGGUUUCACCAAGGAGUCUCUCCUCAGUACUCUUUACCGGGGUGUUCUCCCAAAGAUCCGGAUGUUGCUUGACACUGCCAGCAAUGGCAACUUUCUGAACAAGGACGUUGACGAAGGUUGGGAGCUUGUUGAAAACCUAUCCCAAUCUGAUGGCAACUACAAUGAAGAUUAUGAUAGAACCAUCAGGGCGAGCACAGAUCUUGAUGAGAAUUACAAGAAGGAGAUGAAAGCUGUGAAUGAUAAGUUGGACAAGCUAUUGAUGAGCCAUCAGAGGAACAUCCAUUUCGUCUCUGAAGACGACCCUUUCCAGAUUCUGAAUGGGGAGGGAGAACAAUCUGAGGAGAUAAGCUAUGUCCAGAACCAAGGUGGAUACAACAAGGGAUACAAUCCUUAUAAGCAGAAUCCAAAUCUGUCCUAUCGGAGCACCAAUGUUGCAAACCCCCAGGAUCAGGUUUAUCCACCUCCACAACAGCAGCAGCAGGGGCAGAACAAACCAUUUGUGCCCUACAACCAAGGUUAUGUGCCCAAACAACAAUUUCAGCAAGGUUACCAACCUCCAGCAGGACCACCACCAGGAUUCCAACCUCAACAUGCUCCGCCUCCUCAGGCACCAGAUCAAGACAUGAAAAACAUGCUUCAGCAACUCCUACAGGGACAAGCAAGUGGCUCCAUGGACAAUGCUAAGAAGUUUGCUGAGCUGACUCAGAGAUUGGACUGCUCAUACAAUGAUCUGAACAUGAAGAUUGAGACUCUGAAUUCCAAGAUCAAGUAUAUAGAGGGUAAAACUGCUUCUACUUCUGCCCCAAAGCCGGGCCAACUCCCAGGAAAAGCUGUUCAGAAUCCUAAGGAGUUUGCUCAUGCCAUCACGCUGAGGAGCGGUAAAAACUUGCCUCCCAGACAAGGACCUGUUGUAGUCACUGGGGACAGUGAAGACUUGGAAGGGGAGGAUGUAUGUCAGAAUGAAGAUCCGGUUGUUCCUUUGGAAGAAUCAGAAGUCGUACCUGAAGAAGCUCCUCAACCUGCUGAGAAACAUGCUGAAACACCUGCAGCAUCCAAGGAUAAGUCUGCGAGAUACGUUCCCCCACCAUACAAACCACCUCUACCAUUUCCAGGACGAUUCAAAAAGCAGCAAGCUGAGAAGUAUAAGGCUUUAUUUGAAAAGCAAUUGAGAGAGAUUGAGUUGAGAAUGCCAUUGCUGGAUGCAUUCGCACUUGUCCCUCCUUAUCAGAAGUUCCUCAAAGAUUUGGUUAUGGAGAGAACAAAAGAAGUCCAGGGAAUGGUGAUAUUGAGUCAUGAAUGCAGUGCCAUUAUCCAGAAGAAGAUCACUCCCCUGAAGCUUAAGGAUCCUGGAUCCUUCACUCUACCCUGCUCACUAGGCCCCCUAUCUUUCAACUGAUGCCUAUGUGAUCUUGGAGCUUCUGUGAGUCUGAUGCCGUUGUCUGUGGCUAAGCGUUUAGGAUUCACAAGAUACAAGGCAUGCAACAUAUGUCUCAUUCUAGCUGACAGAUCAGUGAGGCUCCCGCAUGGACUCUUGGAAGACUUACCAAUAAGGAUUGGUGUUGUUGAGGUCCCUACAGAUUUUGUUGUUAUGAAGAGCCUAAGGAUCCCCUGAUUCUUGGAAGACCAUUCCUAGCCACUGCUGGAGCUAUCAUUGAUGUUAAGAAGGGGAAGAUAGACUUAUGCUUGGGAGAAGACUUCAAGAUGACAUUUGACAUUAAGGAGUCUAUGAAGAAACCAACAAUCAAUGGCAAGGUGUUCUGGAUAGAGGAGAUGGAUCAGCUAGCUGAUGAACUUUUAGAAGAACUUGCUGAGGAGGAUCAUCUCAAGACAGCGUUGACAAAGAGUGGAUCAGAUGGAUUUCUUCAUGCUGAGACAAAGGUCUACGAAACGUUACUGGAUACCUACAAGGCAACUGAUGAUUCAGAACGUUUUGAGGAAUUGGAUAAGUCUGUCAAGGAGGUAUGCACAGUAGAGGAGGAAGUCAGUGGCAGCCCGAUGACUCACCAUGCUGUUGACCCUGUCAAUGCGGCUGAUGAUGACUGGUCAGAGUUAAAAGCUCCCAAGGUUGAGCUCAAACCGCUACCCUCAGGACUGAGGUAUGUAUUCCUUGGAUCCAACUCUACUUAUCCUGUCAUUGUGAAUGCUAGCUUGAGUAAUGAGGAAUUAGAGUUGCUAGUCACUGAGCUUAGAAAAUAUAGAAGGGCCAUAGGUUAUUCCUUAGAUGAUAUCAAGGGGAUCUCACCUAGUCUCUGCAUGCAUAGGAUUAAUCUGGAAAAUGAAUCAUACUCUAGUAUUGAACCUCAAAGGAUAUUGAAUCCUAACCUUAAGGAAGUUGUGAAAAAAGAAAUUCUUAAACUGUUGAAUGCUGGGGUUAUCUAUCCUAUCUCUGAUAGUACUUGGUUAUCCCCAGUGCAUUGCGUACCUAAGAAAGGAGGGAUUACAGUGAUAAAAAAUGAAAAAGAUGAAUUGAUCCCCACUAGGACUAUCACUGGCCAUAGGAUGUGCAUUAAUUACAGAAAACUGAAUGCUGCAUCUAGGAAAGAUCAUUUCCCGCUUCCUUUCAUUGAUCAAAUGUUAGAACGAUUAGCCAAUCAUCCCUACUACUGUUUCCUUGAUGGGUAUAGCGGAUUUUUCCAAAUCCAUAUCCACCCAAAUGAUCAGGAAAAGACUACGUUCACUUGUCCAUAUGGCACAUUUGCCUACAGACGCAUGCCUUUUGGUUUGUGUAAUGCACCUGCAACAUUUCAGAGGUGUAUGACCUCUAUAUUCUCGGAUUUGAUAGAGGAGAUGGUGGAGGUGUUCAUGGAUGAUUUUUCCGUGUAUGGCUCCUCCUUCUCCUCAUGUUUGUUAAAUCUCUGCAGGGUAUUAGCAAGAUGUGAGGAGACAAGCCUGGUGCUCAACUGGGAGAAGUGUCACUUCAUGGUGAACGAAGGGAUAGUGUUGGGACACAAGGUAUCAGAGAAAGGGAUUGAGGUUGAUAAGGCAAAGAUUGAGGUCAUGGUGCAGUUGCAGCCUCCCAAGUCAGUCAAGGAUAUAAGGAGUUUCCUUGGGCACGCUGGGUUUUACAGAAGAUUCAUCAAGGACUUCUCAAAAAUUGCAAGACCCCUUACAAGACUGCUGUGCAAGGAGGUCGAGUUUGUUGUUGAUGAGAGCUGUCUGGAAGCUUUCAACAAGAUCAAGGAAGCGUUAGUCUCAGCACCAAUAGUCCAAGCUCCAGACUGGGAUCAUCCUUUUGAGAUAAUGUGUGAUGCCUCAGAUUAUGCAGUAGGGGCUGUGUUGGGACAGCGAAUAGAGAAGAAACUGCAUGUCAUCUACUAUGCGAGCAGAACCCUUGAUGAGACACUAGGGAGGUAUGCAACAACAGAGAAAAAGCUCUUGGCUGUAGUCUUUGCGUUUGAGAAAUUCAGAAGUUACUUGGUGGGAUCAAAAGUGGUAGUCUACACAGACCAUGCUGCGCUUAGACAUAUAUACUCCAAGAAGGAUACCAAACCAAGACUGCUGAGAUGGAUACUUCUACUCCAGGAGUUUGAUAUGGAGAUUGUUGACAAGAAGGGGAUAGAGAACGGCGUUGCUGAUCACCUGUCCAGAAUGAGAAUAGAAGAUCCAAUCCCUAUUGAUGACUUUAUGCCUGAAGAACAUCUCAUGGUUGUUGAGAUAUGCAAGAAGAUGCAUCAAACAGGAAUGGCUAUGAAGGAGCUUCAAUGUCUAGCAGUCAAUUCAGAGAGUAUGCCCUGGUAUGCGGAUGUGGUUAACUACAAAGUCUGUGGAGAGAUUCCUGCAGACAUGGAUCCUUAUAGGAAAAAGAAGUUUUUCAGAGAUGUCAACCACUACUUCUGGGAUGAACCUUACCUGUACAAGAGGGGUUCAGAUGGACUGUUUAGGAGAUGCAUAGCAGAAGGAGAAGUACAGGGAGUGCUUGAGCACUGUCAUGGAUCCGCAUAUGGAGGACACUUCGCUACAUUCAAAACAGUUCAGAAGGUUCUACAAGCAGGCCUUUGGUGGCCAACGUUGUUCAAGGAUACAAACAGUUUCAUCACCAAGUGUGACGCUUGCCAGAGGAUGGGUAACAUCAACAGAAGGAAUGAGAUGCCUCAGAACCCGAUUUUGGAAGUAGAAAUUUUUGAUGUUUGGGGAAUUGAUUUCAUGGGACCGUUCAACCCUCCAUCAAAUGGCAACGUCUACAUUCUGGUUGCAGUCGAUUAUGUUUCAAAAUGGGUUGAAGCCAUUUCAAGUCCCACCAAUGAUCACAAGGUUGUUCUGAAACUGUUCAAGAGCAUUAUCUUUCCCAGGUAUGGAGUACCUAGAGCAGUGAUCAGUGAUGGUGGUACACACUUCAUCAACAAAGUUUUUGAAAGCAUGUUGAAGAAGUAUGGUGUGAAGCAUAAGGUGUCUACGGCCUACCAUCCCCAGACAUGUGGACAAGUUGAGGUCUCCAACAAGCAGAUAAAAGGAAUCUUGUCAAGAGUUGUUGGGGUUUCGAAGAGAGAUUGGUCUACCAAGUUGGAUGACACUCUAUGGGCGUAUAGGACAGCUUUCAAGACACCAAUAGGAAGGACACCUUUUCAGCUGGUGUAUGGUAAAGCAUGUCAUCUCCCUGUGGAGAUUGAGUAUAAGGCGCUUUGGGCUAUCAAGCUUCUGAACUUGGACAUCGAUGCAGCCCAAGCAAAGAGAGUUCUUGACAUCCAUGAACUUGAGGAAAUCAGACUUGAUGCCUUCGAGAGUUCCAAAAUCUAUAAGGAGAGAACCAAGGCUUUUCAUGAUAAGAAGAUUGUCGUUAACGAGCUUAACGCUGGAGAUCACGUCUUGCUGUUCAAUUCCAGACUGAAACUGUUUCCUGGAAAGCUCAAGUCCAGAUGGUCUGGACCAUUUGAAAUCAAGGAUGUUUUGCCAUUCGGUGCGAUCACUCUCCUGAACAAGGAUGGCAGCGAGUUCACUGUGAACGGUCAACGUGUCAAGCGAUACCUAGCGGAUCAAGAGACACCAGAGGGGUCCUCCAUACCUCUCUACGAGCCUCCCAAAGCCUAAAGGGCAUAAACAGUCAAGCUUAGUGACUUUAAACAAGCUCACUUGGGAGGAAGUCCCAAAGGUAUCCCUGUACAUAUUGCUUAGGAUUUUUCUUGUGUUUUUAAUUUUUGUUUUUGGUUUUGUGUUGUUCAGGACAUCAAAGACAUGAGAGAACAUAUACAUUAUUAUCAGAACGUGAAAUGAACGAAGUGAGCGGGAGAUGCAGUGUCAAACAUAGUUCAGUGAGAUGGUGGGUAGAGAUGUUUAGGAUUUUUUGUGUUUUUGAUUUUUGUUUUUGGUUUUCUGUUGGUAAGGAUUUCAGAUAGAUGGAGUAAUGCAAAACAGAGUAAGAUGCGGAUGCAGAAUCGAGUAUGACAAAAUGAACAAAGUGAGUGGGAGAUGCAGUAUCAAAAAUAUUUCAGUGAAAAGUUAAAAAAAGUAAAAAAAUAAAAAAGAAAAAAAGAAAACCCUCUUUUCCUUACCCACUCGAUUUUUCCUAUCCUUUUCUCCCUAACCACACAAAAAAAUCCUAUCUUCUCUCUAUCUCUCUCACUCGAUAUCCUUCACCACUUCUCACAUCCUCUCACCAUCCACUCAACCUCGCAGCUACCACUCGACCCUCACUCGAGUCACGCCGUCGAAGCAUCCUCUUCACUCGGCCGGGUUCACUCGAGCACCGAGGCUCACGCGACCCUUUCUCACCAUCCGCUCAUCCUCACUCGACGCGCACACCACUCGACGGUAAAGCUCUCGCUCGACUCGUCGGAUUUCAGCUCACUCGACCGUCACUCACUCGACCGUAUUCACUCGAGGUUACCGUCAAUCUACUCGAGUAGCUACUAAAGCUCACUCGAGCUCCCACUCGAUCGACACGCUCCACACAUCGCUCGUGUCUAUUCACUCGAUUCCUUCUCUCAAUCGGCUAAGCUCCACCCCCAACCGACAAGUACUCGACCACUUUGUCUUCACUGGUGCUACUCGACCAGUCGUACUCGACCCUUACUCGACUCGCUUUCGCCUCCUCCGAUUCCACCAGCCAAGCGAGCUCCUCGCCACUCGACGUGCAUCACACACUCGACGAGUCAAGCUCCCAAGCUUCACUCGACCACUCUCACCGUCGCCUCACUCGAACUUCCCAUUGAUACUCUUCACACGCGUGUGUACCUCGACCGAGCACAAGGUCACUCGACCGAACCCAGCUGGAUACUCACUCGACCGAGAAGUGCAAAAGUGAUAAAUUUGCUAAGUGUUACUUCCCUUGGCAUUUCUCUAUAUACAUUGGCUAUUUUAUCUUGAUAUUUGGCACACUAACGAGCUAAUUUUUAGUUUUGAGUUCCAAUUGUUUCAGUUUCACAAUGUCAAGAGAUUUGUUGCAUGAAAUGCGUGAGAAGUAUGGUUGUAAACCAACAGAGCGUGCAUCUCCUCACUCUAUGUCCAAGGUCUACAUGGAGAAGAAGAAAGCUGCAUAUGAGAGAGCGUCUGGUGUUGGUCCUUCUCAAGCAAGAAGCAGAGCUAAGUCUUCGGGUAAAAAACCAAUGGAGCUGCGGGAUGAUGAUAGUGAUUAUGAGCUUGAAGAGCAUCCACCUGUCCCAGCUCGCAAGUCAGCGCAGAAGAAGAAGACAGAGAAGUGGUUAGCCCCGGGAGAGUAUUACAAGCUGUUUCAGCAGCAUGAGUUUCAGGGCACGAGGUAUCCUUGCCAGCAGACGAUGGAUGAGCUGGCUAUCUCGAGUGAUGUCGAGUAUAUGUUCGAGCAUUGUCAUCUCAGCACACUCAUGACUAGUCCGCGAAAUGCAUACCGAGAGGAGACAAUUCAGUUCCUCUGUACGCUUGCCAUACAUCUUUAUGAGGAUGAUCCGGACAUAGAGUCGGAUGGAGGAUUGGGAUACAUCACCUUCACCAUCCAUGAUCAUGAGUAUCUUCUGACCAUCAGAGAGCUGGAAGGUUUGUUUGGAUUCCCUAAUGGAACAGGGAUUGGGCAGAGGAUUGAUAGGGAUGAAUUGUUGGAUCUUUGGGAAACGAUUGGGAAUGAUAAGAAGUUCGCUUCAUCUAGGACCAAGAGCAACCACAUCAGAAGUCCAAUUAUCCGCUACUUCCAUCGAUCAGUUGCAAACGUGUUUUUCGCGAGGGAGACAACAGGGACACUGAUCAACGGGGAGCUGGAGAUGAUUGAUCUUGCACUUAAAGAUCUCUUGUUAACAGCAGUAGAUGGGACACUACUGCGAGGUGAUACGACUGAUACAUCUCCCUCGUUCACUCUGUUGCACCAGCUACUCAGUUACAGAACUUGGGUAGUGAAGCUGAGCAGCUGCAGAACUCAAGGAGUUAUGUGUAUGGGCGGGUUGGUGACAGUCAUCUUGGAAGCUUGUAGCGUCCCGCUGAGUUCAGAGCCUAUUGCACCGAGAUUCAUCGACAUUCAGAACUUGAGGCAAGCUCAAUGGUUGCAUUGGGAGAAACGCAACGGGUUGUAUAUGUAUUACUUCACUCACCCCGUACAUGGUGACGUGCGAUUUUUGCUUCCUUGUAUCGCUUUCACUAGGAUACUCGAAGGAAGCAACAUUGAGUUUACUCCCCCUGCAGAGGCUCUCUACACGACAGAUGGUGAGGAAGCGAUGGAGGUAUCUGAGAAAGAGGAUGNNNNNNNNNNNNNNNNNNNNNNNNNNNNNNNNNNNNNNNNNNNNNNNNNNNNNNNNNNNNNNNNNNNNNNNNNNNNNNNNNNNNNNNNNNNNNNNNNNNNNNNNNNNNNNNNNNNNNNNNNNNNNNNNNNNNNNNNNNNNNNNNNNNNNNNNNNNNNNNNNNNNNNNNNNNNNNNNNNNNNNNNNNNNNNNNNNNNNNNNNNNNNNNNNNNNNNNNNNNNNNNNNNNNNNNNNNNNNNNNNNNNNNNNNNNNNNNNNNNNNNNNNNNNNNNNNNNNNNNNNNNNNNNNNNNNNNNNNNNNNNNNNNNNNNNNNNNNNNNNNNNNNNNNNNNNNNNNNNNNNNNNNNNNNNNNNNNNNNNNNNNNNNNNNNNNNNNNNNNNNNNNNNNNNNNNNNNNNNNNNNNNNNNNNNNNNNNNNNNNNNNNNNNNNNNNNNNNNNNNNNNNNNNNAUCACACUUGUCAGAGGAGCAUCAUGUUGAGGAUCUGACCAUGGAUCAAGCCGAGGAUCACAUUGAGGACCUGACUGUUGAUCCAGGUGCGUAUCAUUUCCAAGACCUCACUGCGGAUCCUGUCGAGCAGAACGUUGAGCAACCAGCAGUGGCUCCUCCUGUCCCGCCUGCACCAGGUGCUUAUACAAGCGAGUCCAUGACUCAAUACCUGGAUUGCUAUUUUCAGUAAGGUACCACUCCAAACCUUCAUUUGUAUAUACCAUUGCAUUUUCAUACUUUUCUUUGUUUGAUUCUCAAACCAACUCUCAAAUUUUUAUUACACAAGAGACUGUGUAAUUUAAGUUUGGGGGAGGGUUUGGGAUGACAUUUGAUGUUGUGUUCUCUUUUCUUAUUUUGAAUUUUUAGCAUAUAAUUUGCAUUCAUAUAUGUGCAUUGAAAACCCCUAAAAAUUUGAAAAAUUUUCAGAAAAAAAUCUUUAAAAACAGAGUGAUCNNNNNNNNNNNNNNNNNNNNNNNNNNNNNNNNNNNNNNNNNNNNNNNNNNNNNNNNNNNNNNNNNNNNNNNNNNNNNNNNNNNNNNNNNNNNNNNNNNNNGUCUAGAUUGUUUCAUGUAGGACUGUUGCAUUAGCAUAGGGGGCGAUGAUGAGUUACACCUUGUUGAUUUGCUAGGAUUCACCAGUUGAGAUCAAUGCCCUGGUUGUUAGCUUUUUGAUGCAUGAUGAUUGAACUUGAAGUAAGUCUGAAACAAACUUGGAAUUCAUGAAGAGCAUUCUUGAACUUGGUUGAAACAUGUUGUGAUAUGAUCUCAUUCCUUAUCCUAUAAGAACUUAAUCUUGACUUGCAAAUAUCUGGUUGUGUUUUGCUUGCAUGCUCAUGGUCACCAUAUACAUAUUUGGAUCAUCUUCCUCCUUUCACCACUCUUGUUGAUCCAAGUAGCUGAUCUUUCUUUUGAUCAGUUUGCCACACCCACAGCCUAUCCUUUUCUUUCAAGCCAAUUGAUAAUUUUUGAGUGGUAGGUCUUUUACCGGAUUAUGCUUGGGGAGAACGUGUUAGGUAUGAGCUGACAGGAUUAAAAUCUUGAGUAGUUCUGAUUUUCAGUUUCAAAUCAGAUAGGAAUAGGUUGGGAUUCUUACUUGGGUUUGGGAUUGGGAUGAUUGUGGAAAGAAAGAAGAGAAACAGAAAAAGUUGUGUCCUUAGGAGGAGAAUGUUUUCUAGAAGUUUAUAAUCUAGUGAUUAUUUUUGCGGGGUUAGCAUGAUAUACGGAGAAUGGUUCUAGGAUGUUAAGAAAGUGAAAAAGUUUUGAUGUUUUAUAACGUAAGAAGAAAACAGAACCAUAGUUAAGAAGAAAUCCCCUAUCCACUAGUAUUGAUAAGAAACUUCUCCUAAGGCAAAAAGCAAAAAGAAAAAAAUGGGAUUGAUGUUGAAGGGUAGACAUAGGGAUCAUCCGGGUUUAGAUGAUUAGGAGUAAGCACUUGGGAACCAUUGGGUAGUCAAGGUUUUAUUCCUGUAUGCAUUUGUUGGUCCUUACCUUUAGCAUUCUCCCUAAAGCUCAAUCCAUUCAUUGAGAGAUCCUUGUCCUGAAAUUGUUUAAACCCUCAUGAUUCUCAAAACCUUUUUCUGCCUAGCCAAGUGAGUUUGUUAAGCCUUGCACAACCAGAUUCAUAUACUUGAGUAAUGAAUGUUAAAAGGAAUGAAUGAUUUGAAUGCAUGUGUAGAUCAAGGGAUAGAAUCAGUUUCGGAUUUGAUGAGUUUGUCUAAAAUCGUUAAGUAAAGUUCUCUCAGCAUGCAUCAAAGACUUAGCAACCAGGACAUUGAUUUUAACUGCUCUAUCUUGCAAGUUACAGGUUCUGAGACCCCAUUUUCAAACCUCUCUUCCACUUUGUUUCUUUUUGCUUUGCUUGAGGGCAAGCAAAGACUAAGUUUGGGGGAGUUGAUAAGUCUGUAUUUCAUUGCUUUUUGAGUAUGCAUUCAUCAUCUAUUCAGCAUCAUUCACUUGUUGAUUCGCAUCAUAUUGAUCCCUUUCUGCAUGUUUUACAUACUUAGGUAGGUUUUAUGCAUAUCAUGCAUAUCAUACAUAUCUUGCAUACAAUGUGCAUAUUUGGAGUGUCUCAG
rnacentral:lncRNA from 1 species